CCGGUGGAAAAAUUCUGGCCUCCCAGAAGGGUAUCAGUUGGGUAUUGGAAGCUUUGCCAGAUGAUAGAAGAAGAAUUAUCACCGAAGAGAACAAAAUUACCAGAAUCGAGCAUAGAAGCUGAGGCUGCGGAUUCUGCCACAUCUGCAAUGGUUAUUUGUUCACCCGGCCCAGUUCGAAGAAGCAGCUUACCAUUUGUGGUGAAUUCAAGAGUCGUGUUGAAGGACACCAGCGGCUUAUCUCGGUUUGCAGUCCAGACAACGGUGUUUCCAGAUUGACUGACCAGCCAUACGCCUACUGCAAAUCCAGUGCCUUGCGGGUAGAAACCAAAUGCAAAAUGGCCGGAGGGUGAGACCCAUGAACUGGAUCCAUUGUGUGGAAAAAGUGAAGAACCCAACUUUAUCAGCUUGGGUUCCGCUGUUUCAGCUCUAACACCCAUAGAAUUCAGAAAGAAUAAAAGGAACAUAAUUGAUGUGGGAGCCAUGAGAAACACAGUGAUAUCCGUUUGAGACAAUCCGACGUACAUAUAUAGGGAAGUUGGUCUUUUUUUUUAAAUCCAAAUUUGACAGAAAAUAGGGUGAAUAAAAAUCCAACUUAUAUUUUAAGUUGAAUCAAGUGCUGAAAUUUCAAAGAGGAAAUGGGAUUGAGAUGACUGGUAUAACUUCAAUAAAGUUUAAUCCUUCUAAGGUCAAUUUAAAAGUGAUCUUGAUAAAAAUGUUCUCAAGUUCUAAGAAAAUUUGUUAAUUUUUUAAUAAAAAAUAAAAAAUAUUUUUGAUAAUAUAUUAUAUAAUAAAAAAGUUAAUUUUAGGAUAAGCGCUUGUAACCCUCUUUAUAUUCCUAAAUAUGAAUUUUAAUAUUUUAUUAAAUAAUUUUCUUUUAUGAAGAAAGCAAUCGUAAAUAUUAAAAAACACUUUAAAUCGUUUCAUUCUUAGAAUCCGUUAGAAUAGGGCUUUUCUAUAAAGCACUUCUAUAAUAGACACAUUUAUAAAGAAUUAAUAAGUCUCUUCUAAUCUUUUAAAAGUCACUGAUAAACGAUUCUUAAUUCUUAAUUAAUAAGAAAUAAUGACAAUAAAUUGAUAGUUUACUGGGGUUCAGUUUUUCCACAAGGCUGAUGAGUCAAGAAGAUGGAAAGCAGCGUGGAAAUGCAAUUCGGUCAAUGUGGUCCACAUGGGCCUCCGAGCCUGUACUUCUAACAUGAAAAGCAUUUUUGGAGAAAAAUCAUUUAUAUUUUUAAAGAAGUUAAAAAUUCAUUUAUAAUAUUUUUUUUAAAAAAAUUUGAUAAAUAAUUAUCUUAAUAACCUUUUUUUUUAAUAAAUAUUUUAAUUAAAAACAUUUCCAAAAUCACUUUAACAUAAAUUAGAUUAAAUAUUUUCAAGAAAAAGUAUUUAUAAUUUUUGAAAUAUAGACAUUCAAAAGUCCUUAUCAAUAAAAAUAAUUUCUAUCUCAUAAAUAUGAUGAAAUGAUGACAAGGUAUAUAUAAGACUUUUUUAUUCAUAACUACCGGAAUAAACGGAGGUUUCCAAGCUUACAAGCAAACUUUUGGAAUACAAAUAUUAUAAAAUCAUUUUCGUAAUACCAAUUGUAUGAAUAGGAAUUCUCAUUUAGGAGUACCAAAAGCAUGAAGGCUUGUUGAAAAAUUGUUGUAGUAAUUGUCAAAUAUAUACCUUUGUUUAGAUGAGAUUUAAUUUGAAUUGGUUUAUAUAUAUAUAUAUAUAUAUAUAUAUAUAUAUAUAUGGUUAUCUUGAUUUGUUUUCUUAUUUAUUUUUUUGUAAUUAGGGACUACUCUAGUAGUUGGUUUUUAGAGUAUUUUAGGCUUUGAAUGGAAUAAUUUUUUUUUUCUUUUUCUCAAUGUAAAUAGGCUUUGACUAUGCAAAAAAUAUGUUUCACUUCUUUGUUGUGUAAGUUUACUAAAAUCUAAGUACAUAGUGAUAUUGGUGUAAAAAAAACUAGAGAAAAGAUCACCAUGACUUGUAGUAUUUUGGGUUAUCAUCCUUAGGGUAACAUAAAACUUAACUAAUCUUGUCUGGAUUAAAUCAAAUAAUGACCUUUAAAUGGAAAAUUAAUUGGAUUGAUAAAGUGAAUUUUUAAUUGAUAAAACAUAGACAAUUAAAUCUAGAGAUUUUUACAAAUCCCGUUUUAGACCUAAAAUCGAAGGAUAACAAGUACUAAUUAAAGCAUAUUGAUCUUUCAUAGAAUGAAUCAUUGAUAUAAAUUAUUUAAACCUGAAACCAUGUUUAAAACUCGAAAUUUAUUCUUUAAGAGUCAUCCAAAAAUAAUUUUGAUAAAAAGUUUUAAUCUUUAAGAUAUUUAAAACUUGAUAUCCAUUUGGUAGAUUCUCCUCCAUUACCAAUCACAUAGAAUCACACCAAGUUAGCCAUUGAUCACAAUUCUUUAUGCAUCAAUGGACCCCUAGCAUGCAUUCUACGUAUCUUUAAUAGGGAUGAACUAACAAAGAAUUUAACUUACAUACAAAAUUUAAAUAUUCAAAACUUAUUAUAUCAUAAAAAGAUAUCCUCUUUUCUUAAUCUCUCUUUCUCUAUCUCUCUCUCUCUCUCUCAGAUCAUUCGCCUUUAUUGUUAUAUCUUUAAUGAGAGGAAUUAGCUACUAAUGCUUAGAUUAACUUCAUGCAUUGAAUUAAAUUAAAUCAUGAAUAAUAUAUUGUAAACCAAAUGAUUACAAAAAAUGUCUCUUUAUUCUAUUUUUUUUGUGUUCUAUGGUAUUUAUACAAUUAUAGAAAUCAAACCUCAAAACAUAAUAAAAAUUCCUCAAAUGUCCAAAAAUAUACAAAAGAGUUGAAUGAGAAAAGUUUUAGAGUGAAAUUUUGGAAAUUCCAACUUGUAUAAAAAAAUUUUGAUACCUCACAGUGAUAUUAAAAUAAGUAUCAACAAAUGACCAAAACUUUUGGACCUCUUAUGUGCUUAUAAUGCAGUAUUGAAAUGGUAUCACCUUGUAUUGGAUUUAUAUCUGCAUGUAUCGAAAUGUAUUGAAUUACAUUUUGAUAUGCUGGGUUGAGAACUUCCACUUUACAGUUGUAUUGAAAUUGUAUCGAAAUUCAUUUCAAUAACCCUCUAAGCUUUCUAUAUAUUUGAAAUGGUUCUAUUCAAUAAUUUUGAUAGCUCAACUGGAUCGAAUUGGUAUUGAAAUGCAGCUCUUUUCUUGAAAUGAUAACAAAAUCCAUUUACCUAAACCCAUUGGAUCUUUAAGUAAUUUCAAUGGGUGAUUUCGAUAUAUCUAUAGUGGUAUCGAAAUGCAUUUCGAUACGGGAAUUAAGGAGCUACACUUUAUAAUGGUAUUGGAUUGGUGUCACUUGGUAUUGAAAUGAUUUUGAUAAAAGCCCAAACUCUCUAUAUCUACUAAACUUGUUAAUUUCAAUGCCUUAAGGAGUUGAAUUGGAUUUCAAAGAAAAACUGAGAAGCUCCACUUUAUAAUGGUAUUAGAAUGAGCUCUUGGUAUCGGAUUAAUGUAUCAAAAAUUCCCAACUUGUAUCAUAAUGGUAUCAUAAUCCACUAUCUUGUAUCGAAAUUCCUAUUUUCCUUGAUCUCUUCAUCUUUGGGUUGCCAUGCACUCAUAUUUAUGCACAUUUUAUCAUCUUUUUAUUGCAUUCUUCACUAUGUAAAUAUUAGUUCUCAAUUAGGGCUUAGCAUAUAUUUAAGUUAAAAGAUAAUGAUUUGCACUCAAAUCUAUUUAAAAACCUAUUUUUAUAUGUGGAAAAACACCAGUUUUAAGUGCUAAUCGCAUUCCUCAACCUAAACAUUGCUAGUCCUUAGCAAUAAAUGAGAUAAAAAAGAAAGAAAGAAAGAAAGAAAGAAAGAAAGAAAGAAAAGUAGCAUGCAUUCCUCACAAGAUUUUCAUCCCCAUAUGUGACCACCUUUUAUUCAAAGCGUAUCUUCAUAAAGUUUGGCCUUCCUUGAGUCUAAACAAUCAUUGUUGAUGUGAAUAAAUUUUUACUAGGUUAUAGAAAGCAUGAAACAUAUGUUUAAUGAUUCUUUAAUCUUCCUAAUGUUCCUACUACUCAUUCCAUAUAUACCACACUUAGUGUAAAUUUUCUCAUCUCUUAGCUAUGACUUUUAGGAGAAUAACUCCUCCCAAUCUAUGUAAGGCAAUACUCUUCCCCAAUUGAUUUUGGAAUACACCAUUUUAUAUUUUACAACUUAUAUACAUUUUUUUUUCAAACUGCAUACAUAACUUUCUCUUUUGAUUUUUGUUUAGGUGUAAGGCAUGCAUUCAUUUCUUUUUUUUUUUUUACUAGCAUGGAAAUCACUUCUAUGUAGCUAUUGAGGAUUAAUUGGUAGCUCCUAAGUUUACACCUUUGGUACCAAGUUUCGAGGACCAUUUAAGGCUACUAACUCCUCGUGUAUCAUCUCAAGCUCUUUAGAACAAGUUCAAAUUUCCAACUAUUAAGCUUUUUUUUCUCUCUCUCUGGUGUUCCAAAUAAAUAUAUCACUCUACAAACACCUAUUCCCUAGUUUACGGAAGAUGUUCUCUUAAAAACAUAACUAAGGUAAGAUGUGCUUGUGUGUGCAAGUCAUGUAGAUAAUCUAGUAAUAGAAUGCCCUUAGGUUUCUUAAGGAAAAACACCUAACUAUCCUUAUAUUUUUCCUAUAACAAUUUAAAUUGAAUUAUAUUUGUAGGGAAAUCUAGAUGGCUUUGCUUUUGGGCCUUAUAUCUAAUUAGGUGCAUGCAAAAACUUCCUAGGCUUAUCUAGAUCUUAUAUAUGCACAAUGAAACAUAACAUUAAAACAACUUAAUUGAUCUAGAUUAUCUAUUAGAGAGCUUACCAAGGAUUUGGAUGUUCCCAAAUCGUUUCCUUGUGGUAAAUAAUAAUGUGAUAGUCCUUAAAGAUCUCAUAAACUUGCGAUCUUUUGCCUGAUCACUUUUUUUUAAUCCCUUGGCACUUAGAUGAUGGAAGUUUGGACGGUGGAGGCUGAAACUCUCUCUUUGGAAUGUAGGAGAAUGGUGGAAGAAAACUAAAACCUUAACACUAUAAGGGGUAUGUAUAGGGUUCCUAUUUGGUGUAACUGCCUUAAGCUCAUCUUAGGCUUAUGUCACUUAACCUAGCCCAUAAAAGGUCUUAAUUGAUUAAUUAACCUAGAAGGACUUUAAUUAAUCAAUUAGUCCAAUCUAGAGAUAUCAUCCACUACCCCUAUGCUACCUUGUGUAAUUACCAAAAAUGCCUUUAUGCACAUCAGUAAACUAAGAACCUAUCCAACCUUCAUAAAUCAAGCCAACAAGGUAUAUAAGUUCAAGUGAGGACCAUUAGGCCCAUGGUAAAGUGUUAGCUCCCUCAAAAUUCAAUUAUGAAGUUGACUUAACAUCAAUUAUAGAGAGUCAACUACAAUCCAAUAUCCUAUGUAAAAAAUAACUAGACACUAAGUGCUCAUGUCUGUGACCUACUCUCCAUUAUAUACAUUCUCCUAUGAUUUAGUGUUCAUAAUCUAAUAAAGUGAAAGCUAUCAGUCUCUUAAGAUUACCUAUAUCAUCCUUGAGUUCUAAAUCUUCUUCUUGUGUGAUCAACUAACAUGUCAAAGUUCACAAAGAGCUUAUGUUAAUUUCCACUUAAGGAACUACUAUGACUAUAGUUUACAUGAACACACAUCCUUAAGAUCACCUAAGGGGAUACACUGUCUCAAUUCUAUGAGAUCUCAUAGUGUCUCUAUUGAAACCUAUCACUAUUAGCUUCCAUUAAUAGUGACCUAAUCCAUAAGGUGCUAACUUUGACACAAACUCAGUAUUCUCUCAAGGUUGAGAGAUAAAACAACAUAGCAGAUUGGUGAAGUCAUGACUACCUGGUAGCUUGCCUCAUGUCAUGACUCAUGGUAGGUCUUAUUCGAUGUGUAACCUUACACACUAGUGCACUUACUAUGGGAACCCUAUCUUGAUAGGCAAGACCAACCAUUCCUCCAAUUAGGAGGUAGUGCACUACAAUCUCAAAUGGAUUACCUAAGUCCAUGAAUUGACUAUAAACAAAUCAUCUACUUGUAAGAAACCUAUGCCUGAAGGGUAGGAGACCUUGGAAUCUUGUAUCACAUGCUUGAGCAAAAGCUUGUCAAUGUAGGUGGCUUGAGAUAGCAUCGGUUUCCUAUUCUCGUUGUCUUAUAGGACCUUAAUCCUAAGAACACACUGCACUUCUCCUAGAUCCUUCAUUUGGAAAUAAGUUGACAACUAGAUCUUAACUAAUGAAAAUGACCAUCAUUACCAAUGAGUAGAAUGCCAUUAACAUAUGAAACCAUAAAGACCAUUAUGCUUUCCUACACUUUCUUGUACACACAUAGUUCAUCUUGAUUUUAAUCAAAGUUAAAAGUCUUGAUUGCCUUAUUAAAACAUCUGUUCUAUGAGCAAGAUGUUUGCUUUAAUCUAUAAAUGGAUUUAUGCAACUUCCAUCCCAUAUGCUCAUAGCCCUUUACCAUGAAUUCAUCUAGUUGCAUCAUAUUGAUGCUCUUGUCAAGAUUUCCAUUCAAGAAUGCAAUCUUGACAUUCAUUUGCGAUACCUCAUAAUCGAGAUGUAUUGCAAUGAAUGAGAGUAUCUUAAUGGACUUGAGCAUGGCUACUAGUAAGAAGGUUUACUCAUAGGCAAAAUCAGGUUUCUAACUACAACCCUUCGCUACAAGCCUAACCUUAUAAGUCUCAUCCUUUCCAUCUACUCCUUUCUUCCUCUUGUAGACCCACUUGUACCCUAUGGGUUUUAUCCUUUCAAGUGCUUCUAAAAACUCUCAAACUUAGCUAGAAUAAACAAAUUCUAACUCUACCUCCAUAAAUCUUUGUCUAAGAUGUGGAUCCAUAUUAUUCAUUGUUUCAUCAUAAUCUAUGAGAUCCAUCUCAUGUUCCUCUUGAAUGGCCUCGAAAGACUCCCAAAUACAUGAACCUAUCUAGUUGUAUAACAACCUUCCAACUAUGAAGAGAAAUCUAUUUACUAGAAAUGAGAAUGGUUGGUACUGGAUUUGUUGUUUUUCGUGCUGAUGUAGAAGUCUUUUUUGGUGAUCUCAAAUCGACUUUACUCUUAAACUUAUUUCUUAUUAUAUAGUCAUCUUUCGUAAAUUUGGUAUUUGUUUUAACAAACACCUUUUGGUUAACCUAACUAUAGAAGUAAUAAUUCCUUGUUUCUCUUGGAUAAUCUAUAAACUAACAAACUUCUAACCUUGAUUCCAACUUAUUUAUCGUUGGCUUCAACAUGUGUGUUGGACACCCCUAAUAUAUGAACAUGGUGGAAACUAGGUUUAUGACUUGUCCACAUCCCCGUAGAAGUCAAAAAGUACUAAUUUAGAUGGAACAAAAUUAAGAAGGUAUCCUAUAAGUUCCAAGGCAUAUCCCCAAAAAGAUAUAAGGAGUGUUGAAAAGUCAUUGUAGAUCUCACCAUGUCCAUAAGAGUUUGAUUUAUUUUUUCUACUACUCCAUUUUUUUUAUGGAGUUCUUGAGGCACUUAACUAAGAUAUAAUCCCAUGCUCCUUCAAGAAAGAACCAAACUCGCUUGAUAUGUACUAUUCAACUCGAUCAAAUUGAAGUACCUUGAGGCAUUUACCUAAAUGGUUAUUCGAUUAUGCCUUAAAUUCCUUGGAUUUAUCUAAGGCAUUGAAUUUCCUAUGUGAAAGGUAAAAAUAACUAUACUUAGAGUAAUCAUUGGUAAAGGUACUGAAAUACUCAUACCUAUGGUUUGAAAUAUUGGUAAAUACGGAUGUAUCAGUACUUAGAUUUUACAGAUAUAUCGGAAAUAUUGGUAAAAUAUCAAUGGAUAUUUUAACAAAAAUAUCGAUGGAAUGGAAAUUAUUAAAAAUUCAUGAAAAUGUUUAGAAAAAUAUCAAAAAAAGAAAAAAGAAAAAGAAAAAAGGGAGAAGCAAGAAUACACAUAUUAAAAUUAUUUUAUAAGUGUAAUUGACAUAGUUAUGAUCAAAGAUAACAUUUAUCAAAAUUUUUAAGAAAAAAAUUAACUCAAGUUCCUUUAAUAUAUUUAUAUUCAUUUAUUUUAAAAAUUAAAAACUAUUUUUAUUAAAGCAUGUUUUAUUACAUUUUAAAUAAAAAAAUUAAAUCGAUUUACAUAAAAUAUUUUAUUUAAGAUUUAAUUUCUAAAAAUUUUUAUUACAUAUUUAUGAUGACAAUUUUUUUCCUAUUAACAUUAAUUUAUUUAAAUAAUUAAAAUUAUAUUAAUAAUUUAUAUUAUCAAAUUAAUUUUAAUUUAUAAAAUAUUUGAGAUUCAUUAAUUUUUUUUAUAUUUUUGCAAUUUUUGAAUAAAUUUAUAUUUUUAAUAUUUUAAAAUAAAAACAUUUAAAAUUAAAUAAAAUUAGAAGGAUAAAUACAAAAAAAAUUAAAGUGAAGUGAGAGUAAUUUUUUAAAAUAGGAUUAAUGAGAUAAAUAUGAAAAAUAAUUAAAAAUAAAAGAAUAAUAUAAAAUGAAUGGGUGAUAUAAAUUUAAAAUAAAAGAUAAAUUGGAAAAAAAUAAUUAAAAAGAUGGAUAGAUAUUUAAAAAAAUAGGACUUUUUGAAAAAAAAAAUGGCUAAAAAAUCACUUAAAAAUCGAUGAUAUAUUGUUGAUUUAUUGGAAAUAUAUCACUGAUUUAUUGACGAUUUUUUUGGCAUGCCCCCUUCCCCUCUCCCCCCUACACACAUGUCCUCUCACAUGCGAUAUUUUCACUAAAAUAUCUGUAUUUUAUCAAUAUAUCAUUGAAAUUUCCCUGAUAUCACUUAUUUUUUGCUCGGUUGAUAAUCGGUGGCCAAUUUCGUUUCAGCCACCAUCGAUAAUCAAUUUUUUGCCGAAAUAUUGACAAUAUUUCCCAAAUUUUCAAACCCUACCCAUACCACCAUGUGCUUGGACAUUAAAAGGUUCACACACAUCAGUAUGCACUAGCUCCAAACUGUAGACCCUCAAUUUUGUCCCUUUGGCACAUGUCUUUAAAUUCAUUUUCAGCGCUCCACAGUAGUUUCUUGAUGGCCCACUAUUACUAGUAUAACGUACCCUUUUCCGAGUCACCUCGGAGACUUUGGUUAAGGGAUUAUCUGACCCUUUAUUGUGAUCCCCGGCAGUUUUGAUUUAGACUUAAGCUUUUCUUUAUUUUUCUAGGAUAUUUCUUAUGCAUGUUUAGGCCAUUUAGACAAUGUCCCGAUCACUUUAGGACACUUAGUUCAUUAGGCACCCUUGACCCAUUUAGGCACCCUAGGCCUCCCGAGAUUCACUUUGACCCGCUUAGAUCCACCGAGAUGCUUUCUAGCUCGCACACAUUCACCCUAGGUUACUUAGACAAUCUUUCAGAAUAGGUCACUUAGACACUUCUUUUGGCAUAGUUCUCUUAGGCAUGAUCUUGAUUUCGGUUACUUAUUUUUCGGGAUAAGAUGAGUGUUGGCUUGACUUUUUAUUGCAUGAAUGAAUUUUCUGAUUUUUUUUAAUGGUUUGAGUUUGACAUUUAAAUUAUUAUAAUCUAUUGCAUUAAUUUAAUUUCUUGAUUUUUCCUAAUUGCAUACGUCUAAUAUUUAUUUUUAUACUUUUAUCAAUUUAUUUGUUUAUUUACCUACUUAUUUAUUCAUUCUUUAAUCCCAUAAAUUGAUAUCUUGGAUUUUGUGGCUAUGUGAUUUGACAUUUUAUUUUAUUUCAUUAUAUUCCAUUUUGAUCAUAACUCCCAUUUCUUAUUUCAAUUUUAUUUUAAAUUUUUGCAUGAGACUUGGAGCCAUCAAGGAGAGAAGAUCACGGCCAAAUAAAGAGACUUGGAAAGAAUCCUGUAAAAAAAAAAAAAAAAGGAAGGAAGAUAUCACCAUGCAAGGAUGGUAAGUGGCCAGCACGCAUGUGAAAGAUAUGGACAGUCCACAUAUUGAAGGAUCCCUACGGGUGCAAGGUGGGAGCAGGUAUGGAAGGAAGAAUUUUUAGCAGAUUAUUGAGGAACUGAGGAGGAGUUCUGAUGGCUGGACUUUUUUUGGAAGAGAAAGAUGAUCAGAUUUUUGAAAGGAUACACGAGAUUGUUGAGAGGAAAGAUGACCAGAUUUUGGAAGGGAGUAUGAUGGGAUUUUUGAAAGAGGGAUGCACCAGAUUUUUGAAGAGGGAUGCACCAGAUUUUUGAAGAUGGAACGCACCACAACUUGGAAAAAGGAGGCUGCAUUACUUUGGAGGGUGAUCAAGAUUUUAAUUUAAAAAGCCAGAACUUUCCGCUCUCUCUCUCUAAACCUUCUCGCCUCUGUUCAUUCCGCCGACGGCCAUAGCAAUGUACUCUCUGCUCAGAUUCGCCGUUUAAGGAUGUUCGGUUCUUUGACGAUAUCCGGAUCUUUGACGCUGCGUUUUCUGAUUCCCUAUUGAGAGUUGUAAUUCGGGUCCUCAUUUGACACAUCAACCGUGGAGUUGUUUUACUUUCUUUCCGGAAAUCCAAGAAAAUCAAGUAUUCAAUGCUUUGGGAAUGUUUAAGAAAAAACAAAUAGUGCUUGAUAAGCUAUUGGUGAUUUUGCUGUAGACCUAGAUCGUAGAUUUCUAGGGAAGUCUGAGAAAAUCCAGUUCAACCCGGUCACUCCAAUCAACGGCUGAUGAUGCAGUUACUAAGAUUUGGACACUUACCAAAUAAGACACGGCUGCAUCCUCGAGGGAAUCUCCCAAUGAGCCACCAUGUAUGCACUUUCCAUAUCCAUGUGCAUUAAAAAGGGAAAUAGAAUAUCCAAUAGAAGGAAGGUGCUGCCAUAUAAAUAAGGGUCAGAGAGAACACGCAAGGGACUUUUCUUUUUUUUUGAAGGAGAGAUCAAGACAUAAAGCAGAUUUCUUCCAGAGAGGACAGAAACAGAUUUUUUUUAGAGAGAUCCACAACAGAGGAGAUAUUAUUUUGCUGAAACAAAAGGAGGAUUUUUGGCUGGAGAAGGAGAGAGAAGAGAUAUUAUUUUUCUGGGAACAAAGAGAGGUCUGAAGGAAGAGGAAGGAGGCAGCCACCACACAUUCACCAUUGAGCACUAGCAGCCGCACCACCAUAGAGGAAUUCUAAAGAAGGUAAGUUAGAAUUUCUAAGGAUUUUAGUUUUAAUUUUUUAUUGGAUUGAAAGUUAGAGUUUUUAUGUAUUAAUUUUGAUUUUUUUUUAAUCGGAUGAAAAAGUUAGAAUGUAGUUAGUUUGAUUUUGAUUCAUUGUCUUGGUUUCAAAAGUUAGGUUUUAUUUAGUUUAAUUUUAAUUCAUUAUGUUUGUCUCGAAAAAUUAGAAUUUUUGUUUGAUUCAAUUUUUUAUUCAUUGAACUAGAUUGAAAGGUUAAAAUUUUAUUUAAUUUAUUUUUUAUUCCUUGCGUUAUUUUUGAAAUGUUUGAAUUUUGUUUAAUCUAGUUUUGAUUUUUUUUUUAUAUUAGAUUGAAAAGUAAAUUUUUGUUUGCUUAGUUUUGAUUCAUUACUUUGGUUUAAAAGGUGAGAAUUUUUUGUUUUAUUUUAAUUUUGAUUCAUUAUAUUACAUUGAAAAAUUAGAAUCUUUGUGUAGUUUGGAUUUGAUUCCUUGCUUAGUUCGAAAAGUUAGAAUUUUGCUUAGAUCGGUUUUAAUAGAUUUAAUUUUAAAAGUCAGUUUUUUUAUGAGUCAACUUUUUAUUUAGUUCAAGUGUUUUAUAAUUUUUAGUCUAUUAUUCUAAUUGAUCCUAUGUAAUAAAGUUUAUGUUUUUAAGUUUAUUUUGAUCAUGUUUUGGUUCAUCUUAUUUAGUUUAGGUAUUUUAGAAUUUUAGCUCAUUAGUCUAUUUGAUCCCAUCUAAUUAAAUUUAUGUUUUUUUUAAAAAAAAAUUGUAAAUCAUUUUUCUGAUUCAUCCUUUUUAGGAUUUAAGUUGAUUAGUUUAAGAAAUAUUUGGUUAAUUCUUGGUUGAUCCACUUUUAGUUUGUAUGUUUUCCAAAGUUUUAGAUAACUAAUUUAAUUAACCCUAAGUCAUAUUAUUCAUGUUUUGAGUAUACUAAUCUUCAUUCUUGGUUUAUCAAUAUUUAGUUCAUGCUUUUUUUUUUUUAAUAGGUUAAUUAGUUUAACUAAUCUUAUGUUAUUUUGCUCACGUUCUAAAAUUGAUGAUUCUAGUUUUUGAUUAGUUAAUAUGUUUUAGAAUUCUAUGUGCUUGUGUUACUAUAUUCACAUUAUUAUAAUUACAUGUUUAGGUGUUUGGUUGAUUUUAAAUUAGUUCUAAAUUGUUUAUCUCAAUUUAUGUGUUUGAUUGAUCCUUAUAAAUUCCCGAUUAAUAUUUCAUUAGUUUUAUUUGAUCUAAAGUCGUUCGGUUUGUUGCUUUGGUGAAUAUUUAUUAAAUUUGAUUUUUAGAGGCCAUUGAAAAAUCAUGAAGAUUGGCCUCUACCAUCACCAUUAUCAUUUUUGUUAAUUACUAAAAAAUUUUACUUUGAGGUUUCAUUUUUGUUUUGUUUGGUAUUUUAUUUCUUAUAUUUAUUUUUUUUCCCAAAUUAAUCCCUUUUAUUUUAAAAUAAAAUACUUUUAUAAAAAAAAAAUCAUUUUAAAAAUCUAUUUCAAAAACUCAUUAGAGUCCUCAGGAUCAAAAUUUCCUUUUUUUAUUAUUUAAAAAUAAUAUGCAACCAUAUCUUGUUCGGUUUGGCAUCCUUCUCGGUUUUCAACAAAAAUUUUGGUUUUGAACAAAGGCACGAAUCAAAGCUUGUGGUCCCAAAUAAAUGGGAUAAUUCUGAGCUAAAUUCGUGUAUAUCAAUUGGGGAAUUGGUGAAACCCCUACAUAAGAAAAUCUUUUCAAAAAUUAUUUUUGUUGCCAUUUUUGUCACUUGUUGAAAUUAUGUCUAUCUUUUUUAGGAAUUGUAUACAAGAUGUGUGUGUGAUAAUUAAUGUUUUCAUAUACUUUGAUAAUUUUUGUUAUGCUAAUUAGAUAACAAGCAUGCUAGGGUUUCUUUAUUUUAUUAUUAUCUAAUCCCUCAUGUCUUAUGGAAGCGCAUUGUAAGUUAUCUAUGCUAUCCAAGUACGCCCCCCCUAUCACCUACUUUCUAAAUUUUGUAAACAAUCAUGUCACUGUGAAGUAUGCAUAUGUUUGAUAAUCCUUAGGUGUUUAGAUGUAUGUUUGAUUCGCUAUGAUUAAAUACAUGUUGUGUGUUAUACUUCUAUACUAACUUUUAUGUUUUAUGAUAGCGCUUGAGAAACCGUCCAGGUACGCACCCUAACUCUCCUUUAUGGUAAUUUGAUCCUAUUUGGCAUGUUAUUUUUUGAAAUCACCUUAGCCUACUUAGGUAUCCAUAAUUAACUGAUUAAUGGCCACACUUCCCUUAAUUUUGUUAGUAGAGACCUUUAUAGGGCUUAGAGGGGUGCUACCUUUCAAAGGUACCUUCCCAAUAGGUAACCUGAUCCCCGGACUUAGACUCGGGUUUUUCAAAGACACGCUUUUCCAAAAAUUAUGGAGUCACAUUUUAGGGUUUUUCUUUCUUGUUUUAUUUUCCCUUUAAAAUAAAAAUAAAAUAAGUGGCGACUCCAACUUUUUUCCAAAAAUUAAAUUUUCACAAAUAAAAAGCGAGUCUCGCCGAUCGAGUGGGGGCGCACGUGAAAAAUGCGGGUCCACACAAACAUUCUUUGGCUUUUACACCUUUAACAAUCUUAAUAAUUUUACCUUCUAUAUAGGAUUCAAAGACUGGAAGAUCUUUUAAAACUAAUGAGUACAAUGUUCCAAACUUAACUAGUCUUUGGAUCUUAUUUAGAUUAAUAUGACUUAAGUAUAGAUGCCAUAAGUAUGUUUGAUUAGUGGUAGGUAUGUUUCUUUUUAAUGAGAUAUGAUGAUUUUCAACACAUGGUAAAAUAGAAAUAGGAGUGAUAUGAAUAAGAUUGUCAACUAAUGGGUCCGAGCAAAUAAAUGAAUCAUUAUUUCUAAUAAAAACACUUUUAUCAAAAUAAAUUGAAUAAUUCAGUUUACUUAAACUAGAAAUUAAAAUCAAGUGUUUUUUUCUUUUUUUUAAGAGUUAGGUACAUAAAGAUAAUCCUUGAGUUCUAGAUGACUAUUAUUCUCUAAUGUUAAGGUAACAUCUUCCACUACUAGCAUAGCUAUCCUCAUAGUAUGUAGAGUUAGAUUCAUCUAUCCUUCAUUUAACCUUCUCCUUAGUUGAAAUCCCUAUAAAUUAUUACAUAUAUGGUCAGUGGUGCUAAACUCUAUUCACUAUGAAUUGGUGGAAUCCACUAUUAAACAUGACUCAACUAAAAGUGAAUGAAACAUGCCUUCUUUUCUUCAAGUAGAUAGAAUAUUCUUUCUUUUACUAAUCCUUCUUGCCACAAAGGAAACACUUACCCUUGCCCUUGCUCUUUCCUUUCCCAACCUUGGUAUUUCCUUGCUUAGUAUUCUUGAAAGAGUUUUGCUUAUUAUUAUUAUUAUGAGAAGAACUUGACGAAUCUUUCACUACCAUGUGAACACCUCUAAUAUCCUUGAGAAUCCCUUUAGUCAUCUAAAGUUCCCUCAUGAGUUUAGGUAAGCUCAUCAUUAACUAAGUCAUAGUAAAAUUGAGCUUAAACUACCUAAAGGAAUAUGAUAAUGUCUCAAGGAUCAUAUCAACCUAGGUUUCAUAAUUGAUCUUAGCUCCAAAGAUAUCUAUCUUCUUAAAAAGUGUUAUCAUACGAAUCAUAUGAUUUCUAAUGAGAGUUCCUUUUGUUAUUUUGGUGUUCAUAAUGGGCCUUAAGGUACCUUGCCUACUUGACUUGCCUUUCUCGCCAAACAUAUCUUGCAGGUUAAAGAGAAUCUCAUAGGGUACUGGCAAUGCUCAUGUGUUGUUAUUGCAACACAUGAUUAAGAAACCUAAGUAUAAUACAACAGGUCUUCUCAUAUGCUCUUUGCCAUUGAGAAUGAACAUCUUUCUCUUCUUGCAUUGAAAGCUCAUUGGGAAUGGAUAGAGCAAGCUCUUUAAUUGCCCAUUUUAGUUAUUUUACAAUGAGCACUAUGUUGAAGUUUCUUUUCUAGUCAACAUAAUUGGGACCAACCAACUUAUUAUGAGUGAGAAUAAAGGUAAUGGGAUUGCAAAACAUGAUUUCUAUAACAAAUAAAACAAGUCCAUGCAUCAAUAAAGAAGAUUGAGUAUUCAAGACAUGAUGAUAAUAAUUUAGAAAAAAUGUAGUGCUCUUAAACUAGAUGUGUCUAUGCAAGGUAUUCUAGUAUCAUAAAGAUUAAACCUACUUUAGGUAGGUCAUGAUUCUUAUUACUAGGGUUAGAUACUUUCUCUAAUUAAUUAAUGUACUUUAAAUCAUAAAAGUUUAUCCUAAGGCAUUGAUCAACAUAUAUACCUUUAUGUUUAGCCUUUAGCUCAUGCAAGUGGGACCAUUUUAGUGAUUCAACCACUUUAUGUCUAAGUUAAGUGUGUAACUAAGAUAUUUGAAAUCAAUGUUACUAAGUGAAGAGUUCCAUCUUUAGGAUUAGCCACUCCCACUAAAAACAUGUAUAGUCUCGUCAAAUAAGAUAGUCAUUGUCUCUUGAUUUCUUGGGUCACCUCAUUUUUAGGAUGGUGAUCAACUCAAAAUCAAGAUGGGCUUGAUCUUGAAUACUGUUAGGCUUGCAUGUGGUCCUUUCCCACUUAAUAUUUUAGUAUAAGAGACUUUGAGUAAUUUAGGUAACCUUCUUAAAAUAAAUUAUCUACUAUGAGAUUUUCCAAAACCUUUAUUUAUUAUUUGAAUUGGAAUGCUUGUGCUAAAUAAAUAUUGAUUUCAUAUUCCUUGUCCUUGAACUUUCCUUAUCCAAGCAUAGUCUUUCUUCUCCUUGGGAAGAGGAGCCUAGAGAACUAUCAUAGGUGUUCUCAUUUUUCUCUUUCUAUAAGAAAAUCCAAAAGUACCAUUUUGAAAACCUUUUAAAUAAAUUUCCUAGCAUAUGCAAUAUAAAUAAUAAGCACAAAAGGAAAUGAACAAAAAAGAGACCCAUGGCCUUAGGGAUUUUAUUGCAAAUUUGGUAACCCAAAUAUUUAGAUUUUCAAAAUCCAAAGAUAGAAAGAUACCUACAACAUAAAUUAGGGUUAGUGAAAAUUAUAAAACCCUAAAAUACCCUUAAAACCUAAAAUUUACCAUUAGAGCUACCAAGAGCACUAGAUGGAAGCCUAGUGCAAUGGAUAUAGCUUCGGGUGUUGGAUGUAGCUUUAAGUGCUAGAUGUAGCACUAGAAUUCGAGAUCUAAUUUACCUAUUUAAGUAUUGUUGUAAAAAUUACAGAAUUCGAGAACAGAUAUAUGCAUCUUCAACUGUUGUUUCUAUUGAAAAAAAAAAUCAUUUUUCCAAUUGAAAAAUCUCCAUGAAGACCUUGUGAUCGAUUGGAAUGCUUCCAAUUCUUCCAUAGGUUACAUAGAUUGAUAAAAAUAAGACUUUUUACACAAAACCAAAAUCCUAUGUUCCUUUCACAUCAAAAUUUACAACCAAUUUAUGAAUACAAAAAACAAAUUUUUAUUACAAAGAAAAAAAAAUCCUCACCCUAUAUAGGGUCCACAACCCAUCUAGAAGAAGAAAUAACAAUAAUCAAACCAUCCAAUCAUAAUAAGAUAUAUAAAUCACAUGAAUAUAAUCAUUCAUUUAUCCUUUGGGCUAUGGGAUGAAUACACAUACUCUACAAAAGAAAUAGUAGGCACAUCCUAGAAAGAAUCUAUCACGCUAAAACUUAACUUAGGGUUUUGAUACUAGUUGUAGGAAACUUCAAAUGGCUUCGUUUCUUAGCCUUGAAUUUGAUUAGGUGCAUGCAAAAACUUUCUAGGCUUGCCUAGAUCCUAUGCACAAAGGAAACAUAGCAUUAAAAUAGUUUUACGGAUCUAGAUUAUCAAUUAGAGUGCUUAUGAAGGAUUUGAAUGUUCCCAUUUCGUUUCCUUGUGGCGAAGAAUAAUGCAAUAGUUGUUGGAGAUUUUGUAAACUCAUGAUCUUCUGCCUGAUGACUCUUCGUUGAUGCCUUGGCACUUAGAUAAUGGAAGUUUGGAAGGUAGAGGGUAAAACUUUCUCUAUGGAAUGUAGAAGAAUGGGGGAGGAAGAUUGAAACCCUAACCUUAUAAGGGAUAUCUAUAAGAUUCUUAUAGGGCUUAAGUGAUUGGAGCCCAUCUUUGGCUUGGGUCACUUAAUCUAGCCGAUAAAGGGUCCUAAUUGAUUAAUAACCCAAGAAUGUUCCAAUUAAUAAAUUAUCCCAAUCUAGAGAUAGUAUUCACUAACCCUUAUGCAACCUUGCAUAAUUAAAAGAAUACCCUUAUGCACAUACCGAUAACUUGUCCAAGCUUCAUAAACCAUGUCAAUAAGGUAUAUGAGCUUAAAGAAUGAACCAUUAGGAUCCAUAGGAUAGUAGUAAAUCUCUCAAAAUAUAAUUCUGAAGUUGAUUCAACAUCCCACUACAUGGAGUCAAAUGCACUCUAAUACCCUAUGUAAAUAAUAAUGAGACACUAUUUAGGUUUGUAACCUACUAUCCACUAUAUAUAGUCUCCUUAUUAACAGGUGUCCAUAAUCUAACAAGGUAAAAACUAUCAGCCUCUCAAGAUUACCUUUACCAUCGUUGAGUUCUAGAUCCUCUUAUUGUGUGAUCAAUUGACAUGUCCAAGUUCACAAAGAGAUUAUGUUAAGUUCCACUUAAAGAACUACUGUAGCCAUAGUUUAACUAAACACAUGUCUUUAGUAUUACUUAAGAGGACACAUUAUCUCAAUCCCAUGAAAUAUCAUAGUACCUUUAUGGAGAAUACUUAUUUCUAUCAAAUUUUAUUGACAGUGACCCAGCCCAUAGGUUAAAAUCACUACUAACUUUGGCACAAACUUAACAUUUUCUCAAGGUUGAAAGACAAUCCAAUAUAGUAGCUUAGCCAAGUCAUGACUACUUGAUAGCCUCACGUCAUGACUCAUGAUAGAUACUAUCUAAUGUGUAACCAUGCAAGCUAAGUGCACUAACCAUAGGAACCCUAUCAUGAUGGCUAAGACCAACCAUCCCUCUAAUUAGAUAGUGCACAAUAACUUCAAAUGAAUUGCUUAAGUCUAUGAACUAGUUGUGAACAAAUCAUCUAUUUGCAAGAAAUCCAUAAUUUGGAUAUUGCGUUCAACUCCUAAUGCACCCAAUCCAUGUACAAUGUAAGCUAUACAAGCCAAAAGGAUCAUAAAAAUAUAACACAUAUGAUUUUAGCUCCAAGGAUCUCCAUCUUGUUAAAAAAUGUUAUCAUAUGAAUCAUAUGAUCUCUAAUGAGAGUUCCUUUUGUCAUUUUGGAGUUCAUAAUGGGCCUUAAGGUAGCUUGCCUACCUGUCUUGCCAUUUUCACUAAACAUAUCCGUACCUUAAAGAGAAUCUCAUAUGGAGGCAAUGGUCAUGUGUUGUUAUUGCACUAGGAAUGAACGUCUUUCUCUUCUUGCAUUAAAAACUCAUUAGGAAUGGGUACAACAAGCUCUUAAGUUACCCAUUUCAGUUAUUCUACUAUGAACACUAUGUCCAAGUUUCUUUUCUAGUCAACAUAGUUGGGACCAACCAACUUAUUAUGAGUGGGAAUAAGGGUGAUGGGAUUGUAAAACAUGAUUCUUGUAACAAAUAAAACAAGUCCAUGCAUUAAUAAAGAAGACUGAGCAUUCAAGACAAGAUGGUUAUAAUUUAGCAAAAAUGUAGUGCUCUUAAAUUAGAUUUGUCUAUGCAAGGUAUUCUAGUAUCAUAAAGAUUAAACCUACUUUAGGUAGGUCAUGAUUCUUAUUACUAGGGUAAAGAUCCUCUCUAAUUAAUCAAUUUGCCUUAAAUCAUAAAAGUUUAUCCUAAGGCAUUGAUCAACACAUGCCUUUAUGUUUAGCCCUUAGCCCAUGCAAGUGGGACCAUUUUAGGUGAUUCAACCACUUAAUGUCGAAGUUAAGUGUGUAACUAAGAUCUUUGAAAUCAAUAUUACUAAGUAAAGAAUUCCAUAUUUAGGAUUAGCUACUACUACUACAAACAAAUAUAGUAUCGUCAAAUAAGAUAGUCCUUGUCUCUUGAUUUCUUGGGUCACCCCAUUUUUAGGAUGGCAGUUGGCUCAAAAUCAAGAUGGGCUUGAUCUUGGAGAUUGUAAGCUUGCAUGUAGCCUUAUCCCAUUUAAUAUUUUAGUAUAAGAGACUUUGAGUAAUUUAGGUAACCUUCUUAAAAUAAAUUAUUUAUCAUGAGAUUUUCCCAAACCUUUGUCUAUUAUUUGAAUUGGAAUGCUUGUGCUAAAUAAAUAUUAUUUUCAUUUUCCUUAUCCUUGAACUUUCUUUAUCCAAGCAUAGUCUUUCUUCUCCUUGGGAGGAGGAACCUAGAGGAUUAUCAUAGGUGUUCUCAUUUUUCUCUUUCUAUAAGAAAAUCCAAAAGUACCAUUUUGAAAACCUUUUAAAUAAAUUUCCUAUCAUAUGUAAUAUAAAUAAUAAGCAUAAAAGGAAAUGAAUGAAAAAGAGACCCAUGGCCUUAGGGAUUUAUUGUAUAUUUGGUAUUCCAAAUAUUUAGAUUUUCAAAAUCCAAAUAUACAAAGAUACCUACAACAUAAAUUAGGGUUAGUGAAAAUUACAAAAACUCUAAAAUGCCACUAAAACCUAAAAUUUACCACUAGAGCUACCAGGAGCACUAGAUGGAAGCUUAGAGAAUUGAAUAUAGCUUCAAGCAUUGGAUGUAGCUUUGAGUGCUAGAUGUAGCACUAGAAGAGCACUUAAGUGCUCGAUGACUACUCGGACGCUAAUUUACCUUCUUAAAUGUUGUUACAAAAACUAUAACAUUCGAGAACAGAUUUAUGCAUAUUCGAAUGUUGUUUAGUAAUCUCCAUGGAGACCUUGUGAUCGAUUGGAAUGCUUCCAAGUCCUCCAUAGUUACAUAGAUGGAUAAAAAUAAGAUUUUUUGCAACAAACCAAAAUCCUAUGCUCUUUUCAUAUCAAAGUUUACAACCAAUUUAUGAAUACAAAAAAAAAAAAUUAUUACAAGGAAAAAAAUUCCUACACCCUAUAUAGGGUUCACAACCCAUCUAGUAGAGGUAAUAACAAUAAUCAAACCAUUCAAUCAUAAUAAGAUAUGUAAAUCACAUGAAUAUAAUCAUUCAUUCAUCCUCUGGGCCAUAGGAUGAAUACACAUACCCUCCAAGAAAAAAACAGGUACAUCUUAGAAAAAAUCUAUCAAGCUAAAACCUAAACUAGGGUUCUAAUACUAGUUGUAGGAAACUUCGAAUGGCUUCGUUCCUUGGCCUUAGAUUUGAUUUGGCGCAUGAAAAAGCUUUCUAGGCUUGUCUAGAUCCUAUGCACAAUGGAAACAUAACAUUAAAAUAAUUUUAUGGAUCUAGAUUUAUUAGUUAGAAUGCUUAACGAGGAUUUAGAUGUUCCCAUAUAGUUUUUUUGUGGUAAAGAAAAAUGUAGUAGACUUUUGAGAUCUUAUAAACUCACAAUCUUCUGCCUGAUGACUCUUCCUUGAUGCCUUGACACUCAAAUGAUGGAAGUUUGGAAGGUAGAGGCUAAGACUCUCUUUGUGGAUUGUAGAAGAAUGGUGGAAGAAGAUUGAAACCCUAACCCUAUAAGGGGUAUCUAUAAGGUUCUUGUUGGCUUUAAGUGACUGGAGCCCAUCUUAGGCUUGUGUCACUUAAUCUAGCUGAUAAAGGGUCCUAAUUGAUUAAUACCCCAAGAGGGUUCUAAUUAAUAAAUUAUUUUAGUCUAGAGAUACUAUUCACUAACCCUUGGGCAACCUUGCAUAAUUAUAAGAAUAUCCUUAUGCACAUACCAAAAACUUUUCUGACCUUCAUAAACCAUGCUAUUAAGGUAUUUGAGCAUAAGGACGAGACUACUAAGACCCAUAGGAUAGUAUCGACUCCUUUAAAAUAUAAUUUUGAAGUUGAAUCAACAUCCUACUAUAGGGAGUCAAAUGCACUCUAAUACCUUAUGUAAAUAAUAAUGAGACACUACUUAGGUUUGAAACCUACUAUCCACUAUAUACAGUCUCCUCAUGAACCGAUGAUCAUAAUCUAACAAGAUAAAAACUAUCAACCUCUCAAGAUUACCUCUACCAUCAUUGAGUUCCGGAUCCUCCUAUUAUGUGAUCAAUUAACAUGUCUAAGUUCACAGAGAGCUUAUGUCAAGUUCCACUUAAGGAACUACUUUAGCAAUAGUUUACCUUAACACAUGUCUUUAGGAUUACUUAAGGGGACACGAUGUCUCAAUCCCAUGAAAUAUCAUGGUGUCUCUAUUGAGAACACUUAUUCCUAUUGACUUUCAUUAACAAUGACCUAGUCCAUAGGGAAUAUAUGAUCAGUUAAAGAUCUAACCCAUAUGUCAAAAUCACUACUAACUUCGACACAAACUUAGUAUUCUCUCAAGGUUGAGAAACAAUACAAAAUAGUAGCUUAGUCAAGUCCUGACUACUUAGUAGCCUCACGUCAUACCUCAUUAUAGGUACUGUCUAAUGUGUAACCAUACAAGUUAAGUGCACUUACCAUAGAAACCCUAUCAUGAUGACUAAGACUAACCAUCCCUCUAAUUAGGAGAUAGUGCACAACUCCUAAUGCAAGAAAUCUUUGAUUUGGAUCUUCCAUUCAACUCCUAAUGCACCCAAUCCAUGUACAAUGUAAGAAAUGUGGGUUGGAAGCUCAUAAAAAUAUAACACAUAGAAUAAGGAUAGAUAAAAGUGAAACUGGAAUAUCUUUAAAUAUUAAAUCCACAUUUGUCACAUUCAUGUUAUUUUUUAGGGGCUCUAUCAUAAUAAUAUCAAUGUCAAAUUAUCUGAACUCAAAGAAUUCAAAAAAGAGUUUCAAUACUUUCAACAUGAAAAGAAUAACCCUCUUUCCCUAACUUACUUGACAUAAUGUCCUUAUUAUGUGCAAAUAUUAAAAAAAGGAUAAAUAUACUUACAAUGCUAUUGCACUUCUCAUUUUAGUUUGAUAGUCAUGGCUAUAGUUACAUUUUAAUCACUUAUAUUCUCAAGAUAACUCCAUUCAUAGUUAGUCUCCUUUAUUGAAAAUAAAAAUAGAACCCUUAAGAAAGUAAAAUAAAAAUCGACCGAACUCCUAAUGCUUUGUCAAGAAAGUGGAUCUCUACAAGAAAUCUCACUUUCUUCCCUGUUAAAGCUAUCCUCAUAGUGUUUUAGCCUUUGUUUAUUUACUUGAAUUCACUACUAGUCUUGGGAUUUUGAAUUUCUAUGGCUCUUAAUGGUGAAAGUUCUUUAAGAAUGUAGGGACCCGUCCAUAUUGGUCAUAGUUUACCUAGAAAUAGGUGAAGUUUAUGGUUAUACAACAACACCUUUUGUCUUAGCUAAAACUUUUUCCUUAAUAGCAUUUGAUUAUGAUAGAACUUGGUCUUUACUUUUGCUCUUUGUGCACAUUCAUAAGAUUCAUUCUUUAGGGCUUUAAAUUCAUUCAAUGACUGCUCAAUGAUAAAGGAGGUAGGGAUGUAGAGACAACCAAGAGGUUUGCCAAAAUCAUACUUUCUUUUUAUCUUGGCCUAAUUGUAAUCAAAGUUUGUCUUUUUUAUUGCCCAAAAGGCUUUGCUUCAACUCCAUAGGUAGGUGACAAGAUUUUCCAUAAACUAGCCUACAUUGGGACACGCCUAAACUUGUUUUAUUGGUUGUCCUAUAUGCCCAUAAUGUAUUAGUAAGCUUCAAAGACUAGUUCCUUUAUAUAGAAUUACUAUCUUCAUCAAUAUACCUUUAAUAUCAUAGUUGGCUAAUUUUGCUUACCCAUUGGCUUGGGGAUGAUAGGAUGUAGAGACUGCGUGUUUGAUCCCAUACUUGUGUAAUAAAUUCACAAAGGGUUUGUUGUAUAAAUGAGUCCUUCAUUACCAAUUACAGCUCUAGGAAUCCCAAACCUUAAGAAAAUAUUCUCCUUUAUGAACUUGAGCACCGUUUUAUGGUCAUUAUUUUGCAUACUAAGAUCUCCACCCAUUUUGAAACAUAAUACACCCUUACUAGAAUGUAGAGGUAUCAAAAAAAUGGGGGAAAGACCACAUAAAGUCCAUUACUCAAUAAUUGAAGACUUUAACCACUUGAAUGUGACUCAUGGGCAGCCCAUGUCUUCUACCAAAUUUUCCUAAUUCUUGGCAUUUCAUAUAACCCAUGAAAUAGACUUUGGAGUCUUUGAAAAGAGUAGGUUAAUAUAAUCCACAUUGCAAAUUUUUUUUUUGAAGUUUUCCUUACUAAAAAAUGACCUUCACAUGACUCUUCAUGACAUAUUUUUUAGGUUGUUUCUCUGCUUAUCUUUGGAAAUGCACCUCCUAAUGAUAUGAUCUAUGCCAUGUUUGUAGAGGUAAGGAUCAUCCUAAAUGAAGUGUUUAGCUUGAGAUAGAAAAUAUUUCUUUUUUGCACUUGAUCAUUCUUCUUACAUUUGUCUAAUAGUAGGGAAAUUGACAAUAUUAGCAUACCAUGAUAGUUUUUCCAUAUAUAGUAAAUAAAGUGUCAUCGAGGAAUGCAUAAUCAAUUACAAUGUUAUCAACUUAUCAUAGGAUGAACCAACUUAAACCCUUGAGAGAUGGCCAACUACCAUAUUUUCUAUACCUUUUUUGUCCUUAAUUUGAAAAUUAAACUCUUAUAGCAACAAUAUCCACCGAAUGGGUCUUGCCUUGACAUCCUUUUUAUUGAGAAGAUACUUCAAAGUAGAGUGGUAUGUGAAUACCAAUAUAAGUGCACCAAAAAAAUAGUUUCUAAAUUUUUCUAAGGCGAAUAUUAUAACAAGAAAUUCCUUCUUGGUAGUGGUGUAGUUCAUUUGAGCGUCAUUGAAUGUCUUGGUGGCAUAGUAACCACAUAUAGCUUUUCUUCUUCUCUUUGGCCUAAAAUAACUCUCAUGCAAAAUCACUUGCAUCACAUAUUAACUCUAAUGGAAAUGCCCAAUUUGGAGAUCUCACUAUAGGUGUUGAUAUAAGAAACUCUUUUGGCUUGUUGAAAGUUUCUUGACAUGUCUCAUCUCACUAAAAUUUAGCCUCCUUCAAAAUUAGAGCGCAUAAUGACUGAGAUAUUUUGAAGAAAUUUUUGAUGAAGUACUAAUAGAACCUUGCAUGACCUAAAAAUUGUCUGAUUUAUUUGAUUGUGACAAGUGGUAGAAGUUUUUCAAUAAGCUCUACCUUAGCCAAAUCAACUUUAAUAUCAUCUUUAGAGAUAAUACGACCAAAGAGCACAAUAGAAUUUUCCAUGAAUUGUUAUUUUUCCUAGUGCAACAUGUGGUUAUUUUUUAAUGCAUCUUCUAAGCACUAUCCUUAGAUUAGUCAAACAUUCAUCAAAAUUGCUCCCAUGGACUAUCAAAUCAUCCAUAAAAACCUUCAUGAUUUUUUUCCACCAUAUUGUUAAAGCAUGCACCAUUGGGAAGUGGUUGGAUCAUUGUACAAUCCAAAGGGCAUUCUUUUAUAGGCAUAGAUUCCAUCUAGACAGGUGAAACUAGUCUUCUUUUGAUCUUUUAUGGUUAUGGCAAUAUGAAAAUAACUUGAGUAGCCAUAAAAAAAAAAAAAUAUAAAUCAUGUUUAGCCACUUGUUUAAGUUCUUGAUCUAAGAAAGGAAGUGAAAACUAAUAUUUUUUCAUUGCUAAGUUAAACUUAUAUAGUCUAAGCAAACUCAUCAUGCAAAUGCUUGAUUGUUGUCACAAACUUUUCUUUGCCUUUUCUUCAUAUUUUUUCAAGGAAAAUCCAUCAUUUGAUGCUUGGAAGGUUCAUACAUCCUUAGAAAAUCAAUAUUUGCUUUGAUUGGAAUGUUAAAACAGGAUUUGAUCUCAUAUUACAACCAUAAAAAAAAAAAGAUUUACAAAAAAAUCUUAUGCUUGUAUGCUCCUAACCAUGAAGCUUACAACCAUUUUGUGGAAAAUGAAAAAUCAAUUAUUGCAUGAAAUCAAAGUUCCUAUGCUCUUUCAACAAAGCUCACACCCAAUCUAAUAGAGCAAAAUAUUCAAAAUACAAAGUCCUUAUUCAUCUUUUAGGCCAUGUGAUAAAUUUUAGAAUCGUACAGUGUAGUUGUAAGCACACCCUAGAAAGGAUCUAACUUGUUUUUCCCUAACCUAGGGCUUUGAUAUCAAUUAUUGAAAUAUCUAUAUUACUUUUUUUCAAGCCCUAGAUUGUAGGGGUGUGUGCAAAAUUAUCUUAGGGUAUUUUUAGAUCCAAUUUUGGAUGCAAACCUGCAAAUCAAAAUAAGAUCUAGAGAACAAAGGUUUCAUACAUAAGUUUUAGAUGUUCUUAGAUCAAAUUCUAUCAAUGAAAAGAAGUAUUGAAGGAGUAAUAAUAAUUAUAGAUAUCACAAACCUAACAAUCUUCUGUCGCGAUGGCUCUUUCUUAAAUCCUAGCAUUGGAUGGGUGAAAUCCUUUCUAGGGUUGGUGGCUAGAGCUCUUUUUCUCUCAAGUGAAUAGGAAGACAAAACUAAAAUCCUAACCCCUAAAAAGGUUUAUAUAAGCUCCCCAUAGGCUUAAGUGAUUUGAGGUCAUCUUAGGCUUGAGUUAUUUAAUCUUACCCACUUGGAUCCUAAUUGAUUAAUUAGCCUUAUUAAGCCCCAAUUAAUCAAUGAGCCCAGUCUAGAAAGACCAUUCACAAGCUCUUAUGCAACUUCGUGUUUUUAUCAGGAUGUCAUUAUGUACAUAUGUGAAUAGAGAACUCAACUAAACUUAAAAAAACCAUGCUAUCAAGGAAUACAAGCUCGAGUAGGGCCAUUAGAACCCAUAGGAAAAUAUUGACUCCUUCAAAAUCUAAUUUUGAAGUUAAUUCAACAUCCCACUAUAAAGAGACUAUUUUACUUCAAUAUCAUAUUUAAAGUACAACGGAAUAAAAGAACUAAAGUUUGUGACCUACUAUUUGCUGCAUGCAGACUUCUCAUGAAGUAAUAUUCGUAAUCUAACAAGGUAUAUACUAUCAACGUCUCAAGAUCACCUCUUCAAUCCUUAAGUUACAAAUCCUUUUAUUAUGUGAUCAGCUAACAUGCUCUAUCUCACAAAGAGCAUAUGUCAAAUUUUGCUAAAGGAAUUACAAUGGUGAUAAAUUCCAUGAUCAUAUGUCCUUAGGAUCACCCUUGACAACAUGUUGUCUCAAACCCAUGAGAUAUCAUGGUGCCUCUAUUGAGAAUACUUAUUGCCAUUAGCUUCUAUCAAUAAUAACCUAAUCCAUAAGGAAUAUAUGACCACCUUAUGGUCUUACCCAUAGGUGAAAGUCAUUAGUGACUUUAGCACAAGUUUAGUAUCUUCUCAAUAUUGAGAGUGCAUAUAGUAUUGUAGCUUGGUGAGACCGUGACUACUCGAUAGCUAAUAUCAUUACUCACCAUAUGUCCUAUAUAAUGUGUAACCAUACAUGCUAAUCUACUCACCAUAGGAAUCCUAUCCCAAUGAGCAGGAUCAAUCAUUCUUUUAGUUAGGAGGUAGUGAACUAUAACCUUAAAUGGAUUGCCUAAGUCCAUUAACAAGUUAUGAACAAAUGUACUUGCAAGGAAGCCAUGACUUGAAUCUUCUGUGUAAAUCCUAAUGCACCCAAGUCAUGUACAAUGCAAAAGAUAUUAGGCCUGAAUGCUUAAUAUAUAUAAUGCAUAAAUAAGAUUAAAAAAGACAAACCAAAACAAUCCAUUUAUUGUUACAUCAUGUCAACUUUUUAAGGGUUCUAUCUUCAUAUUUCUAAUAUAUUAGAUUACAAAUCUCAACCACAAGCAUUCCUGACCUACUUCAUGAAUUGAAAGUAUUUUUGAAUGACUUGAAAAAGUAGCUACCAUUGUCUUUUGAUUGUCAUGAUAUUGAAGUCUUACCACAAGUAAACACACAUCCUACUUGAGACCUAACAUUGUAAGGAUCUAAAAGGUAACCAACAUUUACAUAUCCAAGUAGUUGUGAUUGUACCCCUUAUACAUAAAAUAAACAUAGAUUGGUGGUUCCAUGAAGAAAAUGCAAUAUAUGCUUCAUUCCAUUCUAAUGUCUUCAAGUUGGUAUAAAAUUAUGUUUAGGUAGUAAAUUCAUAGAAAAUGAUAUAUUUAGUCUUAUACAAUUUUCUAGAUAUGUCAAUGCACAAUGAUACUAAGAAAUGGUACAUUUAGACAAACCAAUUCUUCAUUAUCUUAUUUAGAAUGGAAUGGGUUCUUGUUAACUUCAAAUGAACUAACCAUGAGGGGAGCUUAAUGGAUGUGAUUUCUCUAUAUGAAAACACUUAACGACUUUCUCUAUAUAUGUUGACCAAUGAACUAGCACUCUAUUUGGAAAGUGCUUAAUCUGUAAGUUGAGAAAAUUGUUUUUCCCAUAUUGUUAUUUUAAAAUACCCUUUUAAAAUAGUCACUUGUUAUUGUUAGCUAUUUAGAAGUUCCAACAAGAUUCAGGUCAUCCACAUAUACUACAACAACUUAAAAUCUAGUUGUUGAUUUCUUAUUAAACAUGCAUGGGCAAAUAGAAUUAUAUAUAUAUACAUAUAUCAAUAAAUAUUCAUUGAGAUAGUUGUACCACAUGCAUUUAGUUGAGUACAUGCUACAAGAUUCUAGAUUAUUUGUUUCAAGCAUUUGAAAUCCUACAACUAUUUUCAUAUAUAUAUAUCUAAAGAUCCAUAUAAAUAUGUAGUAAUGACAUUCGUGAGAUGCAUAUCCAAUUCUUUAAAAUUGCUAAACCAAUUAAAUAUCUAUAUCUGAUUUCUUCCAUCAUAUGGGAGUACGUUCCCUCAAAGCCAACAUUUGGUCUUUGUGAGAAACCUUGAGUUAUGAGUCAUAGACACUAUAUAUAUAUAUAUAUGUAUGGUAUGUAUGUAUUUAUAUCUAAUAGGCUUUUGACGACUUUAGGGAUCUGGACUAUUGGUCUAAAUACUUCUUGUUUUUCUAAUGAAUUUAAUUAUGCUUGGAUAGUUUCUUUUCAUUUUGUCCAAUAUUUUUGUUGGUAGCAUUCUUCUACACUUUAUGCUUUAGGGUCAUUAUCAACUCUUAUGAUAUAUGGCUACUUGGAAAGCGAAUUUGUUAUCAAUAAUAAAGGUAUUUCAAUUCCAUUUUUCUCUUGAAUGUAAACAUCUAAUUGAGAUCUCAUCAUUGUUGGAUGCUUAUACAUUUUCAAGAGCUAAUUGUAUAAUUUGUGCCAUUUUUGGGACUACUUGUUUAAUAUGAAUCUUUUUAAGUGCUACUUAAGAUUGAUAAGUUAUUUUUAAAAAUUUAUUUUAGAUUUAACUUCUUUAAGAGUGCCUUUUUUUUUUUCAUUUGUCUUUCCUUAUGUUUUCCUCUUUUAGGGAAUUGAAUCUUUUAAGCUAGUAGGUUUAUCAUGCUUUAGUCGUGCCUAAGGUUAAUUGUCCUUCAAGGAUAUCAAUCUAGACUGGAAUAUUCACAAUUGGUAUAUAUGAAUUUUUCACUUUCUUCGCAUUAGUGAAUGCAUUUGGUAAUUGAUUUUCAAGUCUUUGCAAAUGAAUAAUCUUUUGAAUAUUCAAUUAACAUUGAUUAGUAUGGGGAUCAAGAUGAGUCAAAGUUAAUGCAUUCCAAAUAAUUUCAUAUUUUUAUUCUAAAAUUGACUUUCCUCCCUCCAACAAUAGGAAUACUCUUUCAUCAAAAUGAUAAUUGCCAAAAUGUGUUGUAAAAACGUCAUUUAUCUAGGGUUUCAUAUAUCUAAUGAUAUAGGGAGAAUAAAAACCGACAUAAAUUCUUAAACACCUUUGAGACCCAUUUUAGUCCUUUGACGAGGGGUAAUGGGGACAUAAACAAUAUAACCAAAAAAUUUUAAGUGAUAAUUAUUUUGUUAUUGGUUAAUUACAAGUUUUAAAGAUGAGAGUUCAUGGUAAGUAGAAGGUUGGAGAUGGAUAAAGGGUACAAAAUAAAGAAUAACAUAUCUCUAAGUAGAAAAAGGUAGUUGUGUUCUAAGAAGUAAUGUCGACCAAUUAAUUAAAUCCAUUUGAUAAGUGAUUUAGCUAAACCAUUUUGGGUAUGAACAUGAGUAACAAGAUGCUCAAUGCCAAUUAUGAUUGACAUGCAAUAGUCAACAAACAUUUGGGAUGUAAAUUCAUCUACAUUAUCAAAGCGAAUUGUCUUGAUAAGAUAAUUUGGAAAGCGUGUUCUUAGGCAAAUUAUUUGAGCAAGUAGCCUUGCAAAGGCAACACUGUGAAAAGAAAGAAGACAAAUAUGUGAGCACUUUAUGGAGGCAUCUAUUAAGACCAUAAAAUACCAAAAUAGUCUAUAAUAAGAGUGAAUGGGGCCACAUAUAUCCCCAUGUCUUUCUAAAAACUCUAGGGAUUCCUAUAUAACCUUAGUAAGGGAUGGUUUAAUAAUUAACUUGCCUUCCGAGAAAAAAAAUGAUAAUAAUUGGGCAUAAGAACCUUUUAGUUCUUUAAAAAAUGCCUAUGAGAGUCAUUGAUUAUUUGAUGCUUCAUAGAUGAACCUAGGUGACAAAGUCACUCAUGCCAAAGCAUAAAUGUAUUUGGGUUAUAGAACUUCUAGUUCAUUACAACAUAUGAUUCAAUAGUUUAAUGAUUAUGUAAUGCAACCUACAUGAGAACACUAAGAGUUUAUCUAAUAUAGGUUUUUUUUUAGAAAUAACAUCAGUAAUAUAAAAAAUAUUUUAUAUUAUCCUUAGUCAUUGUUUUAAUAUAAUAUCAAUUUUGACGAAAAUCUUUAAAAUUGAGCAGUUUUCUUCUGGAUCCACGUAUCUUCACGUAGAACUAAAAUAAUAAUACAAAAUAGAUAGAAAAAUAAAUACAACACUUAAUCACAACAAACAUUGGUAUAUUUCUAAUUAAAUGAUCAUUUUUUCCACCUGGAUCUUCAAAGAAAUCUAAAACAUCCAAGCGGGUCAUGUCUACCACCUUAUCCCCAUUAAUGAAGUUUGUUUCAACUUUUUUUCUUUUUGCCUUGAUAAAGCCUUUGUAAGAUCAACUAAAUGUUUUGGCAUACAACAAUUGCACGACGAAUGCCUUUUAAUCCCACAUCUCCAACAUUCAUUCUUUAAAAAAAGUAUUUUUGGUUUGUACAUCUUUAUCUUUUUUCUGAUGCUCUUGUUGCAUUGUUCAAUUUUUUGUGGUAAGGUUAUUUUUUCUGAUUCUAAGAAUGAUUAUGACCUCCAUGGUACCAUGAGUUAUUCCUGCCUCACCUACGAUCAAGAUCUCUCCCAUGUCCAUGAAAAGUGGUGGCAUUUUCUUAAGGGAGUGACAUUGAUUAGUUGGAUGGAAUCAAUGGUGUCUUAGCAAAAAAUCAUAAUUAUGUUAAGCUACUAGGAGACAAGAUAUUAAUUUGAAUGCUUAGUAAAUCGGCACUCUUGAUAUUGCCACUAUAGGCGCACAUUCAAAGUAUAAAAAGUAGUGAAUGUUUUUUCUAAUGUCUUUUUUAGUAACUAUUUCUCCACAAAGCUUCAACUAGGAGCCAAUUUUAAAUAAAACGAAGUUAUGUUUGUUAACAAAUUUGAAAUCUUACAAUCUGAAGCACAUCUAAUCAUAAUGAGCUUUGGGGGGUAUAAUGGUAUUUUGGUUGUCAUGUUAUUUUAAUUUUUUUCCAAAUGAUGAAAUUGUUGUGAGGGAUUCAAUUUUCAAACCCUCAUCAAUAUGAUGGCGAAAGAAUAUUAAUUCUUUUGCAUGAUUUUGCAAGAUGGAACAUUUCCCUCCUUAAUACUUAUCCCAAUGUUCAUUGCAUCUAAAUGAAUUUCAACAUCAAGGAUCCAACACAAGUAGUUUUUGCUCAAAAUAUCAAGGGUAACAAACUCAAGUUUGAUAAUAUUUGACAUUAUCUAAUAAUUAUAUAUUGAACAAUUUAAUUAGAAUCAUAUAUAAAUAAACUAAAAUAAAAUAUUGCACAAUAGCAUAUAUUUAUUUUAUUUUAAAUCUUGUAAAUGAAUGAAACAAAAAUUAUAGUAAUAUAAAUAUGACAAAUAAAUAAAAUAUAAAAAUUUCAACAUUCUAAAAAAUGUAACCAAUAGUUAAAUAGUACCAAUUAUUAUUUCAUAGAGCUUUUAGCUAUAAUAAAAUUUAGAGUAAUAGCUUCUAGUUACGAACAAUUGACACAUAAUAAUGUAGCUUUUGGUUGUAUAAGAUUUUAGAAAUUAUAGUGUCCGGCUUAAAAAUUAGUCAUCUUAACAAGCUUCUUGUUUGAACAUUCAUAUCUUCUAGCUAGGAUUUUUCAAUGGUUGUUUUUUUUUGUUUAUGCUUUUGGCUAUAUAAAAUUAAAAUAUUAAUGAUUAGAAACUUUUAGUUGAUAUGAAAGGUCCUUGUAUAGCUUCUCACCAUAUAAAUUUGUUAAUUUGAUAUUACAUUUUAUAUAACGGUUGAUUAUGAGUAAAUACAAUAUACUUCAAAUGUUAUAUACAAGAUAAGAAAAAAUAAUUGUGCAAAUUAUAAAAUAAUACUUGUAAUGUACCUUUGAACGGUGUGUUUAGAAAUAAAGAAAUUUCUUUGAAUUAUAGAAAUCGUCUCCUUCUCAACCUAAAAGUCAUGUUGAUAAUGUGUGAUAAAAUAAGUAUAAAGGUUAAUAAAAAACAAAUAAGAGAAGAGAAUGAGUUAAUAAUCCUUUGGCAUCCUUAUCAACUCAAAUACCCUUAUUUAUAGGAUAGGGGUAAUACCAAUAUGGUAAUAAUAGAAACCUAGUAAUGGUAUUGUGAGCCACAGACUACCAUAAAUAACAAAAAUGUAAUCUCUCUCAAUUUAUGAACUUUGAAAUUGGGCAUUUGAUUCAAAUUGAACUACAAUUAAGUUCUAUUUUUAGCUACUCAAAUCUUUGGUGAAAUUCAGAUUUUUUAUUUUAUUUUUAUUUUUAAACCAAUUUUCUUAUAUGUUUGUCAUAUAUCAUUAACCAUUGUGUUGUCUCAAUCAAAGAUCUCUCAUUUCUCAUGGCUUCAGUUUCAAUUAUAUAUCCAUUCUACUCUGGCUUAGUACAGGUGUUAGAGCUAAACCAGAGAACUUCUAAGCUAAUAAAGUUGGGCUCAAAACAAGCUCCAAUUCUUGGGUCACACUCUCCGACGUUUUGCUUUUGGUUUCUACCAACAAGGCAAUGGAUUUACACUAGACAUAUGGCUGAUCAGUCAAUCUGAAUACAAACACUGUUAUUGGACUACAAGCUAACAUGAUCCGUCAUGCAUAGGAAGCCAUAGACACAUAGAAAUUUGGUUGCUGACAAAGGUACAACUCUUUUAAUUCAGACGACCAAGGCGAGGUGUACUUGUGUGUUAUGACAACGAAAGCUUUAAUGCAAACAUCAUUAAUCAAGAACACAAAAAGUAAAAUAAUCAAUACAAAUAAUACACAAGGUUUUAAUAUGGUUCGACCAAUCAUGUCUACGUCCAGGAAUGAGAAAAAAUCAUUCCACUAUACAAUAGAGAAUAUUACAAAGGACAUAACCAAAAUAUUACAAAGGAUAUAACCAGAUACAACUAUUGGGUUCUCGAAACAUCUAAUGUUUCCCCACUCUUCGUAUUCCUACCCUACCACGAGCCCUCUCGCUCCAUCGGGUAUCUCCCGUUCUUCCUUACAUCUUUAUUAACCUCGUAUAGUUUUUACAGACCCAUCUCCAUCCCAUAACUUUUUCACCUCAUGACCUAGAAUAUUUAUAGAGAUAUUUCCAAUAACAUUCCUUAUAUUAUAAGGAAGUGUAAUAUUACAAUAAUAUAUCAACCUAAAAAUAUUCUAUAUAAUAUUCUUUACAAAAAAUGAAUCUAUACUAAUUAGGAAUUUGGGACCCUUCCUGACAAUCUCCACCUUGAACCAAAUUCCAUGAAGUCAAUCUACAACCUUUGCAUGACAUAAUUUUUUUAUUUUUUAUUUUUGUAUCAUAUCACCACAAGAGAGUAAUCGACUCUACCUUCAUUGAAAAUUCCUUUUGUUUCCAUCUUGUGUGCUUUGUGAUAUUUUACUUUUCCAUAAAUCUUCAACUCAAGCUCUGAUACUAGUUUGUUGCAACGACGAAAGCUUUGAUGCAAACAUCAUUAAUCAAGAGUACAAAGAUAAAAUAAUCAACACAAACGGUACAAGAGGUUUUAAUAUUGUUCAACCAACCAUGCCUAGAUGAGAGAGAAUCAUUCCACUAUACAAUAAAUAAUAUUACAGAGGAUAUAACUAGAUAUAACUAUUGGGUUCUCAAAAUAUCCCAUAUUUCUCCAUUCUUCAUAUCCCUACCCUACCACGAGUCCUCUCGUUCCACCGGGUACCUCCCAUUCUUCCUCACAUCUCUAUUCACCUUGUUAUAGUCUUUAUAGACCUAUCUCUAUUUAAUAACUUUUUCCCUUCAUAACUUAGAAUAUUUAUAGAGAUAUUUCCAACAACCUUCCUUAUUCUAUAAGAAAGUCUAAUAUUACAAUAGUAUAUCAACCUAAAAUCUUCUAUAUAAUAUUCUUUACAAAAAAAUGAAUCUAUACUAAUUAGGAAUUUUGGAUAAUUCCUAACAUUGUCCACAUUGGUGGGCUGUACGUGACUACUACUAUCCAAAGACGACUUUCAUUUUGAUUAAUUUAUGUGGCUCUAAUGAAAGUCAUCCAAGUUGUUGAGAAGCAUGUGGUCCAUUUAAUGCAACCGACUCUUCUUUUCUUUUCUUUUCAUUUACUUCAACAACGCGACCUAUAGAUAGAUACUCUUUGGGUAUUCUUUUACAAAACAAAAGCUUAAACACAGAUUUGCUAGCAAAUUUCUAUCAUCUCAUCUCAUCUCAUGGCUUGUAUCUAUGUUGUUUUCUUACUCUUCUUUGUAUCCUUUGAAGAUGUAGGAGCUCAAGAAGAACCCCCAGCUGAAUUCAUAACCUUGGAAUCAGCUACACUCUCCCCCACAAUUCAACCCACUUCAUGGCUGUCACCUUCUGGCCUAUUUGCGUUUGGUUUCUACCCUCAAGGAAGUGAUUUUUUAUUGGGAAUUUGGUUGAUGGAUAAAGAAAGAACUCUUUCAUGGACUGCACAUCGAGAUGACCCACCGGUGCCCUUGGAUGCUAAACUCUUGACCAUUAACGGCAAGCUCCUUCUGAGAACACGGCAAAGUGAGGAAAAAGUCAUUGUGGAGUCGGCUUCAUUUGCUUUGAUGAGAGACUCAGGAAAUUUUGUGGUCUACAACAAAAGUUACCAUGUCAUCUGGGAAAGUUUUAAAUUUCCUACUGAUACCAUAUUGGGAGGCCAGAAUCUGACGACUGGGGUUCCAUUGUUUUCUAGUUUAUCUGAAACCAAUCAUUCCACUGGACGGUUUCGUCUCGAUAUGCAGGCUGAUGGGAAUCUUGUUUUAUACUUUGCAGAUUCUAUGCUCUCGUCAGUGGAUGCUUAUUGGGCUUCUAAUACCUGGAAAGCUGGCAACUCCAUGGAUCAUCAGCUGUAUCUUAAUGAUACUACUGGCGGCCUAGUUGUCAGAAACAGCACCAAUUUGGAAACACGAGGAAUCAUAUACAAGGGUUCGUCUUCUGCUAGUAAGACGAUCUACAGUGCAAGGCUUAGCUAUAAUGGGAUGUUCCAAGUGUAUUCUCACAGUUUUGACAGUAACGGUAAUGACAAUAAGACGUUGGCCUGGUCAGCAGUGGCCACGGUCAACCAGUGUCAGGUGAAAGGUUUCUGUGGUUUGAACAGCUAUUGCACCCAGAAUGACAUUGAACCCUACUGCUAUUGUCUUCCUGGUACUGACUUUGUUGAUUCCAAACAAAUGCUACUUGGCUGCCUGAAGAAUUUUACUGAAAGCAGCUGUAACAAUAUCUCUUAUUCUGCCUCUUAUCACAUGGUUCGGGAGGAUAAUCUGGUAUGGGAUGACCUUCCUUAUUUUAAAGAAACAAUGACAAUAGACGAAUGCAGUAACGGCUGUUUAGAGGACUGCAAUUGCGACGUGGCACUGUAUGACCAGGAUGGCCAUUGCUCAAAACGAGCACUUCCACUGAAAUAUGCCAAAAGAUCUCGAGAUGUGCAAUCUUCAGCUUUCUUCAAGGUAGGCGUAAAAGGUAUCGAAAUGAAGAAUGAUACCAUCUUCUUCCAGCCGUUACAACAGAGGUCAGGACCACAGACUUGGUGCUAAUUCUUGUUAUCACUAUUGGCUUCAUUACGUGUUCGUUUGUUUCCCUUGCAAUAUCUGGUUUUUUCAUUUUCAAGUUUCGAGUUGUGAAGUACAGAAGGCUUCUGGAAGAUGGAAAACUGGGCCUUACGGAGGAGCUCAAAAUGCAAUCCUUUUCUUACAAGGAGCUACAGAAGGCAAGCAGAAACUUCAAAGAAGAACUGGGUAAGGGCGCUUUUGGGACUGUUUAUUUGGGAGUUCUGCAGCAAGGUAAGAAACUCGUUGCAAUAAAGAGACUAGAGAAGAUGGUGGAAGAAGGGGAAAGGGAGUUUCGGGCAGAGAUGAGAGCAAUUGGGAGAACUCAUCACAAGAACUUGGUUCGCUUGCUCGGCUACUGCACUGAGGGCUCAAGGAGGCUUCUUGUGUAUGAAUAUAUGAGUAACCGUUCUCUUGCAGAUAUUCUCUUCAAGAGCAAAACACGCCCACCUUGGGAUGAAAGGGUUAGGAUUGCACUGGAUGUUGCGAGAGGGAUCUUGUAUCUACAUGAGGAAUGCGAGGCACCUAUUAUUCAUUGUGAUAUAAAGCCUCAAAACAUUUUGAUGGAUGAUUUCUGGACUGCUAAGAUCUCUGACUUCGGGCUGGCAAAGUUGCUAAUGCCAGAUCAAACGAGGACCUUUACAGGGGUUAGAGGCACUAGAGGGUACUUGGCACCAGAAUGGCAGCAGAAUAUCCCAAUAUCAGUGAAGGCCGAUGUUUAUAGUUAUGGUAUAGUGCUCUUGGAACUUGUGUGUUGCAGAAGGAACUUGGAGGUGAAUGUGUCAGAGCCAGAAGAGAUUGUUCUUUCUAAUUGGGCCUACAAGUGCUUUGUGGCUGGAGAGCUGCACAAACUUUUGGGUGGUGAAGAAGUAGAGAGGAAGAGCUUGGAGCAAAUGGUUAAGUUGGGACUUUGGUGCAUUCAAGAUGAGCCAGCUCUUCGUCCUUCUAUCAAGAGUAUUGUGCUGAUGUUGGAAGGAAUUACUGAAAUUGCUGUUCCUCCAUGCCCAACCACUACCUCCAUGUAAAAUCUUUAAGAAAAAUUGUGGCUGUUUCUUUCAUGUAACUUUCCUGUUCAUGUAUUUUAUUUUACCCUAUAAUGGAAAGCCAUUAUGAAUUAGACCUUUCCAAACAAAAAAAAAAAAAACAAUUCUCACUUUCAAAGCAAUGAAAGCAUCAGUGAAUGUUAAUAGGAUUUCCUGAAAACAUUGAAAAUAUUGAAAGUUGAGAAAGAAAAAAGAAAAAGAAAAAGUUUGCAUCGCAUGGAAAUGAAUUAAAACUAGUAAAUAUUUUUGAAAAAAAAUAACACCAAAAAAAAAUUAUAAAAUAAAUCAUAAUAUUGAUAUUAAAGUCUUUCUACAAUUAAUAUAUUCAUCUAUGUGUAAGUUUGAUAAAACUUGUGUGAUAUUGGAAAAUCGUAUGAUAUGGAUUGAAAAGAAAUAUAAAUCGUAGAGAUGUAUGCUUAGUACUUAGAGUUUAAAAAAUUUUAAACUAGCUAAUUUUAUAAGCAAAUAACAUAUUUACUAUAAAAUUAGUGAUAUUGCAUGCCUAGUCCUAUUAAUUACACUUUGGACCACAUAAUGCACUGAGAAGGGGAAACAAAUUAGGUAUGGAGAAAUAAAAGAUCUCUUAUUUGAUUUACUAUAUAAAAAUAAAGAAAAAUAAACUAUAAUUAUGUUUAGAUAGAGCCUUUCUCUUAUUUGAUUUACUAUAUAAAAAUAAAGAAAAAUAAACUAUAAUUAUGUUUAGAUAGAGCCUUGCUCAUUUUCAAAUUCUUCAUUAUUUAUUGUUUAUAUAUGAGGAAAAAAAUAGGAGAAAAAUGUGAAAAAAAUAAAUAAAAUUAUAUCACCACUUUUUUCUUUCUCCCAUUUUUCCAUUUUAUAUUCCAAAAGUUGUGCAUGUGAACUUGGAUUGAGAAAAAUUGAUUGCAGCCUGCAUUCAUUAUGCUAGAUGGAAAGUAUCAAGGAAAAAAAAAAUCUAAAGGAAAAUGAUUUUUUCAUGUUUGAUUCACUAUAAAAUUUUUUAAAGAAAAUUAAAUAUAAUUAAAAUUAGUUAGAAAUUUAUAUAUUUUAAAAUUAUUUAAUCUUUAUAUAAUUGAAGAAAUUAAGUGAAAUGAGUUUGAAAAAAUAUAUAAAAAUAAUUUAUUAAUUUUGAAUUUAUUUUUUAUUUUCUUUCAUUUUUUCUUUUCUUCCAUUUUUCCUCUCUAUUUUCUUUCCCUCACAUUUUCCCUCAAAAUUUCGGGGAACCAAACAUAGCCUAAGUGUCUUUACAUGAAAAAGUUAUUCGAGAAUUGCAUGAACGAUGCUUAAGUAGAUAUUUGGGAAGAGAUAAAACUAUCACCAGUCAUGAGGAAUACUAUUAUAGGUUGCAAUUGAAGAAGGAUGCCAGUAAUUUUGUUUGAAAAUGCUACACAUGUCAACUAGCAAAGGGUAAAGCUUAGAAUAAUAGACUUUAUAUGUGUUUACUAGUUCUAAAUGGUAUUUAGGAGGACUUGUUAAUGAAUUUUGUACGUCUUGGGAUCACUUCCCCAUAUUCAAAGAGGAGUUCACUCUAUUUUGUGGCUGUUGACAAGUUUUCAAAAAUGGCUCAUUUUAUUCCUUAUCAAAAAGUUUUUGAUGCCUUAAAUAUAACAAGAUUGUUCUUUUGUGAAAUUGUUAGAUUGCAUAAGGUUCCUCAAUCUAUCAACUCUGACUAAGAUACUAAAUUUCUAGUCAUUUCUGGAUCACUCUUUGGAAAAUAAUUGAUACCUCACUGAAUUAUAGUAGUAUUGCACACACAUAGAUAGAUGAUCAAAUUGAGGCAUAAAUAAGACUUUGGGAAAUCUGAUUCAUAGUAUUUGUGGAAACAAGCCUAAAUGGUAGGAUUUUGUACUUUCUCAAGCAAAGUUUGUAUACAACAAUGUUAUUCAUAGCACAACAACAAAGUCUCCUUUUGCAUUGGUAUAUAUGAAGCCACCAAAGCAUGCCUUAGAUUUGGUACAAUUAUGAAAAACUCUUGGCCCAUGUACUACAAUACAACGUAUGGUUGAAAAGGUACAAGUUAUGCAAGCAAAAACAAAGAGGAGGCUAGAAAAGGCAAAUGCUAAAUAUUAAGUAGCAAUUGAUAAGCAUCAUCGACUCAAAGUGUUUCAUGUAUAGGUGCUAUGGUGAUGGUAUUCUUAAGCAAGGAAAGGUUUCCUACUAGAAGUUAUAAGAAGUUGAAGUUGAAGAAAUAUGGACCAUUUCAGGUGUUAAGGAAACUUAAUGAUAAUGCUUAUGGAAUUGAUCUACCUAAAGAUAUGAGGAUUUCUAAGACCUUUAAUUUUCUUAUUUGUGUGGGUAGCAUUCAUUUGACAAGCCUCUCUAUCUAGAUUAUGACUCAAGGUUUAGUUUUGUUCAAGUGGAGGGGAGUAACACUCGAUUAACUAGUCCUAAGAAAGUAGUUAAGUCAACUAGUAUCAACAUAAUGUUUAAAUUACCUAGGAAACUUGAGACUUAUAUAGUACAUAAUUACUUGUGGUAGUUAUUUAUGUGAAUUUUCAUUUUCUAAAUAUUGGAAGUUGUGAAUACAUUAAAGGUUUAUUAGGAUAAAUAGGACAAGAAAAUGAUAGAAAUAUCUUUUGCCCUUUUUUUCAAAAUUUUUAGUCAAUGAAAAUAUCUUCUUAAGAGUUUCUAUAAUGGAUUAUAGACUUUCUUAGGUUAGACAUGUUAAUUAUAUAUAUCCUUUUACCCUUUCUUGCUUUUUGUUGCAUUACUAUGCCAACCAAUGAUUAACACAUCAUAAAUUAUAGAAAUAUCGAAAAAUAUCAAGUAAAAAUUCAAACAAAAAAUAUCAAUUGAUAAAAAUUGAUCAAAAUCCAUUAAAAUAUUGGAAAAAUUAAAUAAUAAUAAUAAUAAAGUAAGCAAUAUAUAUAUAUAUAUAUAUAUAUAUAUAUAUAUAUAUAUAUAUAUAUAUAUAUAUAUAUAUAUAUAUAUAGACACACACAUUCUAUAAUAAUUUUUAAAACUUGAAAAUAUGUUUAAUACUAAAUUAAUUAUCCAUGUGGUUUGGAUGCAUGCAAGGACAUAAAAAAAUGAUAUUAUAUAUAAUUAUUUUUAAAAAAAAAUAUUUAAAAUUGCAUUUACAACUUUAUGUCGAUUAUAUUUAAUUACUACAUAAAAGAUAAAAGACUUAUUAAAAAUUAUCAUGAUGAUUUUAUUAUUUUAGCAAUUACUUAAAUUCAAUUUGAAAAUAAGAUAAUUAAAACUUAUAUAUUUAUUUAUACUUUAUUUUAAUAUUUAAUUUUGAGCAUAGAUAUAUCUAAGGGUCUCCAAAAAGCCCACGGCCCGUGGCCCAGCCCAGCGGGCUAAAGCCCGACCCGAGUCCAUUUCUGGAUGGGGCGGGCUAUGGGCCCCAAUUUAGGCCCGGCCCGCCCGUAGGCCCGCCAUUUUAAAAUAUAUAUAUAUAUAUAUAAAAAAAAUAUUCAAGAAAUAGAAAUUAAAGGCAAUUAAACCAAAGCUUCAAAUUUCAAUCUAGGGUCCACAAUUAAACCAAGAUAAAAAAUUAAAGGUAUUUCUCCCCAAUAUUUUCUAAAUUUUUCUAUCAUUGCAAAUAUUGCAUCAUUAAAUAUAUCAAAAUUUAAAUAUUUUUGAAGUACAAUAAAAAUAUUAGUUAUUUGCAUGACAACUCGGUUUGAAGAUGGAUAAUAUACACCACAAAAUUUUUUUGUUGAAGUAUCAAAUACUUCAAAAAGAUCUGCAAUAUGCCAAUCAUAAUCAUUUAAUACAUCAAUAUCUGCUUCACAAUCAUUGCUAAUUAAUUGUAUUUCAUAUAGUUAUACUACUUUUCUAUAUUUUAUAAUAGUUUCUAAAAGUUUAUAAGUGGAAUUCCAUCUAGUGGGCAUAUCCAAAUUUAUAUUUCUUUUUUUCAUAUUUAACAUUUUGCAACAAUCAAAAAAUAAUUCAUGUUUUGCUUGAGAACUAUUAAGACCUGCAGCAAUGCCUCUAAUUUUUUAUAAUGUAUCAUCAACGUGUUUUAAUCCAUCUUUUAAAAUUAAAUUUAAAAUAUGUGCACAACAACGCACAUUAAAUAUUUUACAUUGAUCUUCUUUUAUUUGCUAAUAUCUUUUUAAUCUAGAUACUGCUGCAUCAUUAUUAGAAGCAUUAUCUAAUGUUAUUGUAAAUAUUUUAUCACGAAUUCCAAAAUCUAUAAUUUCAUCAUUUAUUAAAGAUGCUAUAUUUUUACCAUUACGUGGAGCAUUUAUUAUUUUAAAUGAAAUAAUUCUUUUAUUUAAUUUCCAUUCAUUAUCAAUAUAAUAAGCAGUUAUACAUAAAAAACCAUUGUGAGUUCAAGAUGUCCAAAUAUCAGAUGUUAAACAAAUUCUUCCUUCAAAAUUUGCAAAAAAAAUUUUUAAAUUUUCUUUUUGUGUUUCAAAAUUUUUUAUAAGAAUUAUUUUAACUGUAUUUCCAUAGCAACCUUGAAACUGAAGAUUAACAGCUCGUUGCAUUGUUCCCGUAAAAUCAUGAGUUUCCAUGAAAUUGAAAGGUUGUUCUGCUCUUAUUAUAUAACCAAUCAUUUCUUCACGACAAUAAGAUUCAUCAUAAGAAAAUGUUUUUAAAUUUCCACUUUCAUCUUUAUAUAAUUGCAUAUAAUUUCUAAUAUCUACAUUAUUUUUAGUUUUACAAUUUUCAUGAUGCCUUUUUAAAUGACUUGUACCUGCAUUUGAGCCACCACUAAGAAGUUUGUUACAAAUUUUACAUUUUGCUUUUAUUUCUUUUUUAUUAUUUUCUAAAUUUAUUUCUAUUCUAUCAAAAAAAUUUCAUAUAUUUGAAGUAAAUUUUUUGCUAUCACAUGCAUUAGAUGAAGAACAAGAACCACUUGCCAUAAUUAUAAUUAUUGAUAAAAUAUUAUGCUAAAAAUAAUAAAUGUAAAAUUAAAAUGUAACAAAUAAAUAAAAGAAAAGGUGAAGUAUGUUACUAAAUUGGAGAACCGAAGUAGAAAUUUCUUCAAAUUUGAACUCUUUGAACCACCAAUGCUUGUUUUUUACCACCAAUAAUAUUGAAUAAUUUGAGACAAAAUGCAAUAAUCGGAAAUAUUGUGGAAUGGGAGAGAGCUUAAGAGUUGAGAGAAUAGAAAAAAAUUGAGGGUAUUUAAUAUUUAUAGGGAUUAAAAUAUUAGGAUUUAAUUUUUUUUUUAAAAAAAAAUUUCAAGACCGUUCAACGGUCAUAUAUUUGAAAUUGAAUUAUGAGUGGCAUGUUCAACGAUCAUGUGACCAGCAUUUCUAAUAUAUAUAUAACUAAUGCAAAAUAAUUACACAAAAGAAGGUCAGUUCAGUUGGUGGCUAGCUCCUUUAUGGUUCCAUAAGGGAAGGGGUUCGAAUCCCCAUCCCCUUCCCUUCUAAAUUGAAAAUUAUUUUAAUUUUUACCUCGGCCCGCCUAGCUUGAGGGCCCACGGGCCUUAGAUAUACCAAGGGCCCGGCCCGUUGACCAGUCAACGGGCUCAGUGGCCCGCCCCGGGCUGGGCCAUGGGCCUUACUCCUCAAGGCUGGGCGGCCCGGCUCGGCCCGUUGGAGACCCUUAGAUAUAUCAUAGUGUUACUCAAGCAUAUGCAAGUAUAAAUAAUAAAGGCAAAAAUACCUUAGGUGGCAAGAGAUUUAGCUUUGCCUUGGGUUCGGACGUUGCUGAAAAAUUGAUGAUUAAUAAAAAAUGUUAAAUUGUUUUGAAAUUUUGAUGGAAAUUUCCACCCAUCCCAAAACACAGAAAUUUGAUAGAAAUAUCAAGGAAAAAGCCUUAAAAUUUCAACAAUUUCGCUGAAAUAUGAAAAAAAAAAAAAAAAAAAAACUUAAUCAGUACUGGUGGCAUCAUAUAAAUAUUUUUUUUUCUCUCUAUUUAAAAAAAAAAUGAAUUGAAACGAGUCUCUUUUUAUUUAUUUACUUUAUUUUAUUUUAUUUAUUAUCAGGAAUAAUAACAUUAAGAAAAAAGAUCUAUUUAACUAAUAAGAACUGUUAUAGCUAUUGUAUACCGUAGAGAACCUCAAUGUAUUAGCAACCUAUUGUAUCCAACCAUUUCACCAGAUAAAGAUAUUUUUGUCGCAUGUAUAAAGUAUAGGCAAAUGUAGGCCAAAUACAAGGCAUGUCUGAAGCCAUGCAUGAGGCAAUGCUACUUAGCGUAUAUGCUCUUACUGUAGGGACCCCUCCCCCUGAUGACACGUGGCACGCUUCGCUAUCCGGAGCAACUCCAUCCGGACUCCCCGAAGUGGGACACGUGGCACACAUUUCUUUCUGAAAGCAACUCUACCCGGAUUCCCCAAAGAGGAAUACACGGCGCGCUCCCCUAUCCGGACUCCUUCAGGGAGAAGCACACGUCACUUGUGAAUGUCACAUCCGGACGAUAACAUAUCCUAUCCGGAUCAUUGACUGAAGUGAGCUAGUCUUGCUACAUCAUUCCGACAGCCUGCCACAGCCCACUAUCCGCCGCCUGUAGAGCGAAAGGACAGGGUUGGUGGCAGGUCACCUCCCACGAUCCGCCGCCUGCAGAGCGAAAGGACAGGAAUGAUGGCAAGUCACCUCCCAAGAUCUCUGACAGCCGCCCACAGGGUGAUGAUGGCCCUGCCACCACCUUGGAGUUAUCAUGACGAGCCAAAAAUUCCUCCCAUCAUUAAAGAGGGAGGACGAGCUUCUGACACUAUAUAAAGGAACCUUCACACAAGGAAGAAGGUAAGCUUGCUAUACCUAGUAAAAGGCCAACUGCCUGAUCUGCUUAAUCUCUCUAAGACAUGGCUAACAAAACCAUCGGAGGGUGUGUCCGGACACCUCGUCCGGAUACCUUUUGUAGGAACGACUAAACCAGAACUCUAUUUUGAUUGAGAGUGUGCGUCCAUUUGACAGCUACGUGGAUCAUUGGGACGCGAGGCCUCAACACUUACCACAAGAAUAGUAUCUAUAGUGAUAAUAUGGGAGCUCUAUAAUUUCCAGCAUCGCUUUUAUGGAUCCUUUAGGUGACUUGUAAAGGUUCCAUAGGAAUUUUAAAGGAAUCAUUUUGCAAAAGCUAAAAUUUUUGUGACUUCCUACGAAAAGAAGCAUUGAGGUUAUGUCUACAGAUAAUUACGUCCACGAAAAGAUGCGUGUAGUACGAGUCACCUCAAAUUUCUCUUAUUCGGAGCCGGAGACUUGGCCUUGUGGAAAGACUAAGACGAGUCGCUUUCCCCGCUAAAUACUGGUAAAGACUAAGACGAGUUGCUUUCCCCACUAUGCAACACCAUUUCCUACUUUGCCGUGUGGAAAGACUAAGGUGAGUGGCUGCUUGGUCUACCAUGUCCUUAAAUUUCCAGGAUGGAGACUUCAGCUAAUAAAGCAAAAUUAUUUGACGUGACAUUUAAGGUAGAGGAGAGACUUCAGAAGUGUUUGUUUCUUCUUCGAAGUCUUCUAUUCUAUAAAUGAGCUAACAUCAACCAACAAACAAAGCGCCUUCUUUGACCGUGCUGAUCCCAGAUUUUUCCUCCAAUGAGAUGUCAAAUAACGAUGUGUAGAGUGUCAAACACGCAAGACUGAUGGAAGAUGGUAGUUAAUUUCCCAGCAAAAAAACACUUAACUUUGAUUGAAUAUGUUUUUUAAAACCGUUUUUAAAAAUAAUUUAUAAAAACUAUUAUUUAAUAUUUUAUAAAAUAAAAGUAUAUUUAAGAAUUUAAAGUAUUUUAACUUAUUUUUCAUAUCUUUAAAUAUUUUUUAAUUAUUUUUUAUUGAUAUAAUUAUUUUUUAAAAAGCCCCUUAGAAAUUAAGUGAAAAUAAUUAAAAACAUUUAAAAGAUAUUGUUUACGAACAUUGUUGUAUGUUUUUCAGAAUCAAAAAUUAUUUUUUAUUUUAUUUUAGAGAAUAAGAAAAUAAUUAAAAAUAAUUAAAAGAUAUUUUUGUAAAUAAUAUUUUAUAUUUUUAGGAACAGAAAAUUGUUUUAUAUUUUCUUAUUAUUUUUUAUUUUAGUAAACAAAAAAUUAUUUUAAAAAAUAAUUGCCAAACAAGUUAUUAGUAUGUAAUUGGAUAUAUUUUCUAUAUUUUGUUUUUAAAAUAAGAAACUUUAUAUGGGAGUUAAGAAUUUACCUUAUUUAGUUGAAAAUCACCUUCAAACAUUUUAGUUCAAGUUUGAUUUCAAAAAAAAAAUUUAGUUUUUAUUCUCUAUUUUCACAAUUUUCUUUUCUUGAAAAUACGAUUGCUUAAGAAAAUAAAAUAAAAAAUUGUAAAAUCUUGUUUUGUUUUAAAUUUUCACUAAUAUAAAAAAUGGUGAAAAAAUAUAAUUAAAAUAUUAUAUAAUACAUGUAUGAGAUAUAUUAUUAUAAGGGAAAAUUAUUAUCUGACCCGUUUUAUUUAUUUUUAAAAUGAUUUAAUAAAUUAUUGUAAUACAUUUAUAAUUAAUCAACUAAAUUCCUUGAAUAUAAAAAUGUAUUUAAUAAUCUAUAGUCUAUCGAAACUUUGUUUUUGUUUCUUUUUUCCUAUGGAACGAAUAACCAUUUUCUCUUCCAAAAGAAACAAUGGACGCAACAAUCUUGUUCUUCUGCAGAAGAAACAGCUCAGGGCUGUAAUACACUUGGGCCGUCUCUCAGUGGAAUGGAAAUAAUUAAUCUCACAACCAAUAAAAGAGUCACCUUAAUGGAACUUUUCUUUUUUCUUAUGCACCCAAUCAUCUGCUACUCUUUUGGACAAGAAACGGAUUUAGGGCUUUAAUGGUUUUUAGCCACCUUUCAUGAGCUCAUAACAGAGAUGAAUAUAAGUGUGAUGGUACCUAAUCUUUUUCGUAUUAAGACCGACUUCUUAAGCCCAAGCGUAGCCCUUGGGUUGGGUUGAGCCUGGUUGGAGAUUGAAGCCCAAUUAAUCUUUUUCGUAUUCAGUUGUUAAUAAGGAUGGAUUUGAAGGCUUGAAACUGUUCAAAAGGUGUGAAAUGCAUCAUGAUUGGUACCUAAUCAUUAAACCAAAUAUUUAUCAAAGUAUUGGGCUGGAGGCUCUGAUCUUGGCUGGGCUAAAAGUCAAAAUUCCUAGCCCAGCCUGAAGACCCAUAUGGGCUUGGCUUGGAUCGGGAUAGACCAGGUCCUGCCUAAACCAUUUGAUUAGCAUUUUUAUUUUUAUUAGUUUCCUCGCAUAUGUAUAAAGAGUAAUCUAUAUAAUUUCUAAGAAGUCCUUAAUUUUUUUGUGAAAGCCUUGGCUGGUCUGUGAAGAGGAUGAGAAGAGAUGUAGUUUACAUGCUAGAAAGAUUAUUAAUUGGAGAUGCAUUGUUUGUUACCCACAAAUUUAUGUAAAAGUAGAAAAUGCCCUUUGAGUGUAGACUAGACUUUAUAUUGCACAAAACUAAAUUAAUUUAUCAUUUUAGAUCACCUAAUGCUGACAAGAUUUUGACACCUAAUGCAGUUGUAGGGUAAUUUUGUUAUUGACCUAUGGCAGCACUAAUUUUUGAAAUAUUUGGUUAAAAAAAAUGAAAUAAUCCCUAAAUCAGAAAUUUAACUCAUCUCAUGUUUUUUUUUAAAAAAAAAAAGUAACUCAUUUUUAACAUAAAUGUCCUAUUCCAUUUCAAGUAUUUACAUGUUAGUUUUAAAAGAAAUGGUUAUUUUUAUAAUAAUAUAAUGAGGGCAUUUUUGUCCAAAUGAUAUCAAAAAAUGGUGAAAGGUUAAAUUUCAAAAAUUAGGUUUUGAGAGGUACUUUUAAUCAAAUAACCCCUAAUUUUUCCUCUUGACCUAACAUAUAUGCUUUAGGAGCAAUCUACUUCCGUUGGUAGAUAUAGGCAUAGGGCUAACCCACUCUAGUGGUUCUCAUAACACCUAGCAACAUGCCAACAACACAUCUCAUUCAAGACAUCUUCUUCACCAAGAAUUAUCAAAGCAAAUUUCUCUUAGAUUUCAAGAAAUACUUGAAAAUUAAUGUAGAGAACAAGCAAAGUGAGAGCAAGUGCAAGGUCAAAGAGAUAAAUUGGAGAAAGGACAUUUCAUAACUAGUAUGGGAAUAAAGGAAACAUUUCGAUAUAUACCAGAAUGGGCACAUUGUGAUAUCAGAGGAAUGGUUCGAUAUGGGGAGGCAAUAUUGAUUUCAAUUCGACGUAGUCUUGUGGUAAUGAAAAGUUUCAGAAGUGUGGUUGUGGAGCUUCGCACAUUUCCAUACAUUGAGAGGUGUCGAAAUGGAAAUCGAUAUUAAAUCGACACACAUGAGAAUCGACACUGUUGAUAUGUAUCAAUUGUGCUGCAGUACCUAAGCGCUACACUGAGGCUUUAUCCCCUUAUAUCGAAUUUUGGCCAUCUUGGUGUCAAAAUCUCAACAUUGGAGACUUGUCUAGAGAUUUUUACCAUUUUACUAUUGUUAUGUUUUGGGGAUUGUACAUAAUUGAAUUUGGUUAAUUUUGUUUUGGUUAAGUUGUAGAUGAUGUAGCUCUUGGCAUGUAAAAUGCUAUAAAUAGGUUAGUUGUUAGUCGGGAAUGUAACAUAAUAACUUCAAAUUUUCCAUUAAUUAGACUCAAAAUAUUCUUGAGACCAUAAAAUCAAAUCCUUGAGAAGACAAGUAUACAAUAUUGUACUGCAUGCAAUUGUUUAUGUCUUGAAAAAUAGCUUUUAGCUAGUUUGAGAAGUGACAUUUGACAAAUUAAUUGCCGGAGCUAUCGUUCCAUUGAAGAUCAAAAAGAUAAAAGUAAGAUUUUAUAUGUAAAUUCAAUGCACACAUAUGACAACAUUGAUUAAGAAUGUUUAGUUCUUCCAAGGGCCAAUCAUCAAUAUAGACCAUUCAAAUUUGAAACUUCGAUGAAAUCUUUAAUUUCCAAUACUUAAUAGUGCCUAAAGAAUACAUGGUUACUUAUUUUCUUUAUUUUUUUUUUUUGUUUUUAACAUUUAAUAUCCCAUUGUACAUCUGAUAAGUUCUCCUUAGUUAUCAAUUACAUGAGAUGAUGCUAUGUGGGCCAUUGAUCAUAUCCUCAUGUGCAUGGAUGGAGGGAUGUUUACACAAAAAAUAAGAUAAAAUAAAAUAAAAAUAAAAAAUAUAUUAAAGCUUGAAAACGUUGUCAUUCUCCUAGGUCCGAGCAUUCAGCCCCACUUCUUAAGCCCAAGCAUAGCCCUCGGGUUGGAUUGCACCGGGCCUAGAGAUUGAAGCCCAAGUCUUUUUUGUAUUCGGUUAUUAAAUCGAAGAUCAAAACCUCAACCUCAAAAUUGAACCAAUCAGAACAGGGCUAUAAAUAUGAUAGGUUUCUAGAUUGUAAUAGUUUUAUUUAUUUGCAAAAAAGUCCUCUAGGUAAAUACUAUUUCUGUGUGUGGGUGCAUAUACAUCAGGAACCUAGAGGAGUAGGAGAUGGAGGUACAGGCACAUCCACGGUCCCUUCCAACAUCAGGAUCACAUUCUUCAUUGUAGGGCGCAGACUUGGAUCAUCUUGAAUGCACAAUAAUCCAACCUUCACCAUCCUUUCCAGGGUUUUCAUGUUCACUUCUGCACCUUCCACAAGCUUCUCCAACUCUCUUGCCACAAAGCAACUGUACACCCAACUGCAAAGAAGUAUCUCGUCUCCUGUCGAAACAUUGAUAUCCAAAUUACUUCUGCAACACACAAUCUCCAAUAGCACUACUCCGAAACUGUAAACAUCUGCUUCCACUGAUAUCAACAUCCUCUUCUGCCGCUCGGGUGCCGAAUAGCCUCUACUACUCCCUCCGAAACGAGAAAUGGUUCCAGUUUGAUUAGGCCUCAGAAGCCUCGCUAGCCUGAAAUCUGAAAGCUUGGCAGUCCAAGAAUCGUCCAAUAGUAUGUUCUUAGGCUUUAUGUCGCCAUGGAUGAUGUGGACCUCACACUCUUCAUGGAGGUAGAAGAUCCCUCUUGCUACAUCUAGGGCAAUUCUGACUCUUUCUCUCCAAAUCGGGCGCUUUUCACCAUUGAAGAGAAGAUCUGCAAGUGAGCCAUUGCUCAUGUAUUCAUAAACAAGAAGCUUCUUAGAGCCCUGCAUACAAAAACCCAGCAACCGGACCAAGUUCCUGUGAUGGGUUCGCCCAAUUAUGGUCAUUUCUGCUUGGAACUCCCUUUCUCCUUCUUCCACAACUUUUUCUAGUCUCUUCACAGCAAUAGUCUGGUUGCCUUGAGCUAUAGUCCCUUUAUACACUGCUCCAAAAGGACCCCUACCCAACUCUUCCCUGAACCCAUCUGUAGCUUUCUCCAGAUCAUUAUAAGAAAACGAUCGCAGAGUAAACUCUUCCAUUGCAUUUUCUGACAGCGUUCUGUACCGAUGAACUUGGCUUCUGUAUAUAAAGAAGCUAGACACUGCAACUAGAGCACAUAAGAAAGCAAUGGAACCCAAACUUGAAGCAAGGAUUAAAAUAAGUUCUUUCUUAUUGCUUUCAAUCACCUUUGUUUGAUUCCUUGGAGCAGGAAUAUCGUCUCCAACAUAGGCAGUUCCCAAACUCAUCUUGAGGAAGGUGAUGCCUGAUUCAUUUUGAUUCGCAAUCCCAUGUACCAGAGGAAGCUUAUAUCUUCUGCAAGUGCCAUUGAAAUAAUAAGCCGCCCAACAAUUGCAAUCUUGUAGACAAGACCUGCUGCAACCCUGCUCAUUUAGUGAUGUUAGGGCAGAAUAAGGAUUGGCGCCUUCCCAACUCACAUUUCUUAAGGUAGUAAUGUUGUAGAGCGAUUCUGGCUCUUGUCCCCUGCAUCCUUCUUCAUUAUUGAAGCUCCUGUAGCACCCCGAAUACUUCUCCCGGUUAAUGGAUACGAACCCUGGAACGCAAGAACAGUUGGCAUUGGUGCCAUUGCUUGAACAUAAGCCAUUAACACCGCAGAGACCUUUCACAUCACAUGGAUUUUUGAAUGCCGACCACAUAAUGGAGACACUGGAGAUAUUACUGUUCCCAAAGCUGUGGGAAUACAACCUGAAAACCCCAUCAACAUCUAAGGUUGCUCUGUAAAUGAUGGUCUCAUUUUUGGCAUCAUCUGAUGAGAUAUUGCUGGCUAGAGUAAGUACAUUUGAGGUAGCAUCAUAUGAGCUUAAAAGCCCCUUGUCGUUGAGAUCUCGUGCAUCGACAGUCCAAUAAGGGUCCUCCGAAACUCCCAUAUUGUAGGGGUAGGAAACAAUCCGUCCACCUGACUGCAAACUAAGAAAAAAACCUCCUAUAGCAGAAGAUUCCGUUUUACUGGAAGACAGUAUAUUGGACAAAUUCUGGCCUCCCAGAAGGGUAUCAGUUGGGUGUUGGAAGCUUUGCCAGAUGAUAAAAGAAGAAUUAUCACCGAAGAGAACAAAAUUACCAGAAUCGAGCAUAGAAGCUGAGGCUGAGGAUUCUGCCACAUCUGCAAUGGAUACUUCUUCACCCGGCCCAGUUCGAAGAAGCAGCUUACCAUUUCUGGUGAAUUCAAGAGCAGUGUUGGAGGACACCGGCGGAUCAUCUCGGUUAGCAGUCCAGACAACGGUCUUUCCAGAUUGACCGACCAGCCA
rnacentral:lncRNA from 1 species